UCUCUCUUCUUUCCUCAAUGUUUUGUUCGACCGGAUGGCUUCCCGUCCCUUCCUCGAUUUCAUCUCUGGGAAGAAAAACGACAACGAGCUGCUCAUGAGGAAGUUGAAGAUCAAGUUGCUCGCUGCUAACAAGCUGGUUGACGAUGCGGAGGAGAAGCAGAUGACAGACCGGACCGUGAGGGACUGGCUCGACGAUCUCAAAGAUGCUAUCUACUGUGUAGGAGAGUUGCUGGACGAGAUCAACACUGAAGCUCUUCGACGCCAGCUGGAAGGUGACCAUGACCAUUCUCCCACAGCUAGCAGCAGCACAAGCUGGAUCAUGAGAUCAGUAUUUAAGUCUUCUUUUCCGUCCGAUGAAUUUCACAACUCUCUUGAACCGAAGAUAUCAAACAUUCUGGGGGUGUUAGACCUCAUUCUCAAUGAAAGAGAUGCUCUUGGUCUGAAAGAAGGAGUUCAACAUAGACCACAAGACACAACUCGUCAAACUACUUCUCGGGUCGAUGAGUCUGGCGUCUUCGGAAGGGAAAAAGACAGAGAAACGAUUCUUAAAGCAUUGCGUUCGGAUGAUACGACUGGCGCUAAGAUAGGAGUUCUUCCCAUCGUGGGCAUGGGAGGGAUCGGGAAGUCCACCCUUGCUCAACUUGUGUACAAAGAUGUCAAGGAUGACUUUGAUGUCCAAGCAUGGGUUUUUGUCGGAGUAGAAUUUAGUAUUCUUCAAAUAGCACAAACAAUAUAUGAGAAGAUCAGGGAUGAAACUUGCAAGAUCACAGAUCUGGAUCGGCUUUCUGGAAAAUUGGAGGAGGUUUUGACAGGAAAAAAGUUCCCCUUCGUUCUUGAUGAUGUCUGGAGUGAGGAUCAUCUUCUUUGGAAGAACUUGAUGACUCACUUCAAUAGUUGCGGAGGACAUGGAAGUAAGAUCAUUGUCACAACACGCCUCGGAGGCGUAGCAUCUAUCACCGGGACUCUUUCAGCACAUCAUCUGGAGGAGAUAUCCGAGGACGAUUCUUGGUUGUUAUUUGCAAAGCAAGCGUUCACAAAUGCCAGUGUUGUUGGCGCACAUCCGGAGCUUGAAGUCAUUGGAAGACAAAUUGUUAAGAACUGUCAAGGCCUUCCUUUAGCUAUAAAAUCAUUAGGGGGUCUAUUACUUUCUAAUUCAAACCCAAAGGAAUGGGAAAAGAUAUUGAAGAGUGACUUAUGGAAGUUGUCGAAAGUUAAGGUUUUGCCGGCUUUAUGGUUAAGCUACCAUUAUCUUCCACCACAUCUCAAGCGUUGUUUUGCUUAUUGUUCGAUAUUUCCAAAAGGUUACAGAUUUUGGAAACGAGAGCUGAUUUUAUUUUGGAUGGCCGAAGACCUCUUACAAUCGAACGAGGAGGGCGUAUUGGAUCCGGAAGAAGUGGGAAGUGAUUACUUUGAUAUUCUAUUAUCAAGGUCUUUCUUUCAACAUUCAAGUAACACAUGGGAUUUCACCAUGCAUGACAUUAUGAAUGAUUUAGCAAAGUUUGUAGCCGGAGAAUUUUGUUUGAGAUUGGAGGGAAAUCAGCUGCCCAACAAAAAUUUGUGCAAAACUCGUCACUUUUCAUUCAUGAAAUUUGGAGGUCAUGGCAUUCAGAAAUUUGAGGCGCUGGAUGAGGCUAAGCACUUGCACACCUUUCUACAACUUGAAUCCUUCGAACUUGGAGGAGACUGCAAUAAGUUGGUAUUGAACUACACGCUUGUUGAUUUAUUACCAAAUCUACCAUGUUUAAGAGUGCUCAAGUUGUCAAAUACUCAUAUUGAUGAGUUGCCUAGCUCAAUUGGCAACUUAAAACAAUUAAGGCAUUUGGACGUGUCGUUCACUUCAAUAAGAGAAUUACCUGAGACGGUGUGCACCUUGUUAUUGGUUGGUUGUCGUAGACUGAUUCAACUACCAUCCAAUUUGGGAAGGCUAAUCAACUUGCGCCAUCUCAAUAAUAGUUACACAGAUAUUGAAAAGAUGCCUGCAGGGAUGUGUAAUUUGAAAAAUCUCCAAACAUUAAGCCAUUUUGUGGUGGACAAACAAACAGCUCAAAGGAUAGGAGAGUUAAAAGAGCUUCAGCGUUUGCGCGGAGAUCUUACAAUCUCAGGAGUUGGUAACAUUGACCAUGAGGGGAAUGCUUUGGAGGCAGAUAUCAUGAGCAACAAGGAGUAUCUGGACAAACUUGUUUUGAUAUGGGGAAGAGAUCGACAUGCUCACGAAAAGGAAUUGGGAGUAUAUAUUUUGAGAGAUGGAAGAGGCGAUGAUGAUCAUGAUCCACAAAAUGACAGAGAAGUGCUCAACAAGCUCCAACCUCAUACAAACCUCAAACAACUUGAGAUUAAAUCUUACGGGGGUGUAAGUUUUCCAGGUUGGUUAGGAGAUCCAUCUUUCUCUAAACUAUCUUGUAUUAAACUCGUAGAUUUCCAACAUUGCUGCUUAUUGCCACCACUUGGGCAACUACCCUCCCUCAAACAACUUCAUGUUCUAGGGAUGAAUAACGUGGUUGAGAUUGGUAGCGAGUUUUAUGGUAACGAUACUUGUGGGAUUACUCCAUUUAGAUCUCUACAAAAAUUGUUCUUGGAAGGUAUGUUGGAGUGGGAAAAGUGGUCCUAUUACGAUGGAAGCAGAGGCAACACCACAAUAAUGUUUCCUAAUCUUCGUGAGCUUGGACUGAAAAAUUGUCCCAAGCUGACUGAGAUAUUACCGUUGGAGAAGCUGCAAAGUCUUGAAAGGGUAGAAUUGUGUGGUCUGGAGUCCUUCAGUGGUUCAGUUUCACAUGUGGAAUCUGAAUGCCCUCAAUUCCUUUCCCUCGCUCACUUGAAAAUGGACAAUACCCAAAUUUUGUAUGUUUUCCAGAUGGAGGGAUGGAUGCGCCCAAAUUGAAGGACCUGUACAUCAGUGGCUGCAAGAAAUUAAGGUCGCUGCCAGAACAAAUGCAUACCCUUCUACUGUCUCUUCAGAAAUUGGAAGUGUUCGACUGUCCAGAAGUGGAAUCAUAUUACGAUGGAAGCAGAGGCAACACCACAAUACUGUUUCCUAAUCUUCGUGAGCUUGUACUGAGCAGAUGUCCCAAGCUAACUGAGAUAGUACCGUUGGAGAAGCUGCCAAGGCUUGAAAGCGUACAAUUAAGGGACCUGGAAUCCUUCAAUGGUUCACUUGCACAUGUGGAAUCUGAAUGCCCUAAAUUCCUCUCCCUCGUUCGCUUGAAAAUAGAGAUCUGCCCAAAUUUUGUAUGUUUUCCAGAUGGAGGGAUGGAUGCACCCAAAUUGGAGGAGCUGCGUAUCUCUCAAUGCAAGAAAUUGAGGUCACUGCCAGAACAAAUGCAUAUCCUUCUACCGUCUCUUCAACGUUUGAAAGUAUUCGGCUGUCCAGAAGUGGAAUCAUUUCCUCAAGGAGGGUUGCCCUCAAAUUUACAAGGCCUUUCUUUUGAGUGUUAUAGAAAACUCGCUGCAAACCGCUCACUGUGGGGUUUAACAAGACUCAACUCUCUUAGAAAUUUGGAAAUCAGUUUCACUGAAGAAGGUGGAGAAGAAACGGGAUGUUCGUUUCCGGAAGAGGGUUUGCUGCCCGCCACUCUCACUAGUCUCUCCAUCUGCUUUCAUCCAAAUCUUAGAACCAUCCAAGGCAAGGUUUUGAGACAACUCACCUCUCUUGAACACCUCACAAUACAAGGAUGCCCUGAGCUCCAGGGCUUUCCAGAACAAAUGCAUACCCUUAUACCGUCUCUUCAAAAAUUGAGAGUGUUCGGCUGUCCAGAAGUGGAAUCAUUUCCUCAAGGAGGGUUGCCCUCAAAUUUGCAAGACCUUUCUUUUGAGUGUUGUAGAAAACUCGCUGCAAACCGCUCACUGUGGGGUUUAACAAGACUCAACUCUCUUAGAAGGUUGGACAUCAGUUUCACUGAAGAAGGUGGAGAAGAAAUGGGAUGUUCGUUUCCGGAAGAGGGUUUGCUGCCCGCCACUCUCACUAGUCUCUCCAUCCGCUUUCUUCCAAAUCUUACAACCAUCCAAGGCAAGGUUUUGAGACAACUCACCUCUCUUGAAGACCUCACAAUACGACGGUGCCCGGAGCUCCAGGGCUUUCCAGAAGAAGCGCCCAAAUCUCUGAAAAGCUUGACUAUUUGGGAGUGCCCUAAUAUCGGGUGCUUGCCGGGAGAAUGGCUUCCCACAUCUCUUUCACUACUGCAAAUCUGGACGUGUCCGCUGUUAGAAGAACGAUUCCGAAGAGAGACAGGGGAAGAUUGGCCAAAGAUUUCUCACAUCCUCCAUAAAUAUAUACAUUAGAUGUCCUUGAGAUUAGUACUUGCCGAACUCUCUCUCUCUCAAUCAGGUGUGUGUGUCUAUAUGUAUAUAUACAAAUCAUUUGAAUGACCCAAAACACUUUAGUUGGGUACUUUUCUGAUAGUUAUUUUUUUACUGCUAUGUUUUUUAGUAUGUUUGGUUAGUACUCCAGCUCCAGGCUCAUUAUCAUUGUAUGUAAGCUGUCUCGAUCCAUCCGAUUUGUGUGGUCAGUUUAAUCAAGAGAGCUUUAAUGAAAAGAAUUUAAACUAAGUUUAAAUUAAUCAAAAAUCAUCUUAAAUUAUUUUUUAACUAAAAAGCUUCAUAUUUAAUAGGAAGGACAAACUAAUUUAUAUUAGGUCCUACAAACAGUAAAAGACAUUGGCUGAAUUAAAAAGCCGAACAUGCAAUUUUUUUUUUUUUACAGCCAUGCCCAUGACCGAAACUUCAUUCUGCCAGCCCAAUUCCGUUAGAAAUAAAUUUUUCUUUAUUUACAGGUAUGUCACUACCUCAUUAAAACCUAAAUAUCAUAUGAAAAUGAAAAUUUUAAAAGUUUCCAUGAAUUCUCCCAUCAGGACGUCCCUGAUCGUAGCAUUGAGUGAUUUGACUCUUAAAUAAAUACAAAAAUAAGCUAUUAUCAUCAAUGUUACCUAUUUUUAAUGUUUUAAAUAGGAAUGCAUCUUAAUAAUCAAGCAGCGUGAAUAAAAUCAAAUUAAUCUUAUAGUUCGACUACAAAACAAAACCAGCACAUGAAAUUAAAAUUACAUAGUAGCAAUAUCCCAUACAAGUGGCCUUGUUAUUUUUUUAUUUUUUUUUUAUACAAAUCAAUUUGGAAAUCUUAUUAUUUUCAUUCUCAUCCUACAAUGUUGCACGAUGAUUUGAACUGUUUAUCUUUAGGCCAUCAUUUAAAAACCAUCUCUACAAAAAGCUAAAUGCAUUCAAAAGUUUUUGCUCAUGUAACGAUUAUUCAAUAAUUCUUUUGAACACUGAAAUUAUGACAAUAUUAUUCUAAAAUGGUUUGACGAUAUCUUGUUUGGUUCUUUUGUUGCAAAUAAUACUAGAUAGGGAAGUUUUUUUUGGUAAAAGAAAUAAAGGAAAUAAAAUAGCUGGCAUGACAUCAUACUCACCAAUCACGAUGUAUACGUUCCAUACAUGUGGGGGUCUUGGCCUCUCAUUUUUUCUCUCCCUCACUUACUUACAAAUACAUGAAUGCCCAAAUUUUGUAUGUUUUCCAGAUGGAGGGAUGGAUGCGCCCAAAUUGGAGGAGCUGCUUAUCUCUCGAUGGAAGAAAUUGAGGUCGUUGCCAGAACAAAUGCAUACCCUUCUACUGUCGCUGUCAAUCGUCUCUCCAUCUACAAUCUUCCGAAUCUUACAACCAUCCAAGGCAAGGUGUUGAGACAACUCACCUCUCUUGAAAACCUCAUAAUAGACGGAUGCCCUGAGCUCCAGUGCUUUCUUGAAGAAGCCCCCAAGUCUCUAAAAGGCUUGACUAUUACGAGAUGCCCUAAACUCGGGUGCUUGCCAGGAGAAUGGCUUCCCACGUCUCUUUCUUAUCUGCAAAUCCAUUUGUGUCCUCUGCUAGAACAACGAUUCCAGAGAGACGGGGGAAGAUUGGCCCAAGGUUGCUCACAUCCCCGCGUGUAUAUAUUAUAGAUCUUCUUGAACUUGGCUCUCUCUGUCUCUCUCAGGUGUAUGUGUAUAUCCCUUGUUGUUUUGCCACAAACUCUUCCUAAUGCAACAACAUAGGGGGGAGCUGGUAUAGCCCUUGUUGUUUUGCGAUGGAGUAGUACUAUGUACAUGAUUACUAGGCUAAAACAAGUGCAAAUUUGAUUUCGUUAAUUUGUCUAUUCGACUAUAUAACCUUGCUCAUUGUCAUUGUAUGUAUCAUGCUGUCUCGAUCCAGCCGAUUUCAUUUCAUGUUUGAUAGGGCCAUCAAGUUCAGCUCCUCCUAAUACCAUUAAGUUCGUCACUGUUUGGUUAAUGUCUGGCACCGUGAAGAACAAAAGUGAAGAGUUUCCAUUCUGCAUUACAUGAUCCCUGUCAAACUUUAAUCAUUAGCAGAUCCCAAUUUCAUUCAAAGCACAAAGCUUAAAUCCAACUACUACUAAAAUAAAACCACAUUACCAAAAACUAGAAGGAAUCAUAAAACCGAAAAAACCCAAGAAAUUCGAAGUUUUACGCUUUCAAUUUACGAAAAACAAGAACAAGCAGUAUAAUUUGUCGUGUCUAAAAAUCUGGUUUAGACAAAUCAUCAAACACCUGGUGUACAUCGAGCACCCAGUCUCAGAGAAAGGAGAAAGACAUAGUUUACUUGGGGGAUUGCAUGAGGGAAAGCUUGAGUGAGCCGAACCGUAGAUUCGCCCAUCGAAUAGUGCAGACAUUAACGGUGAAGUCCAACCCUUCCGCAUUGAACCGGGAGGCUUUUGGCACGUCCUUGUGCAGCUGCAGUAGCCACCUAAACGACUCCGCUGCCAUUUUUUCCCUUGCUUUCUAGGCUGUGUACUUCUGAGUAUGUAAAUGGGUCACCCGAACCUAAUCCGAACCUAAUCCGUUAAUCUAACGGGUCAUCCAAAUCCGACCCGUUAAGCUAACGGGUCACCUGUUUCAUCCGUUAACAGUUAUUAUUAUUAUUUUUUUUCAUAGAGUUUAUAUUUUGUUGUUAAGAUUUUAUUGAAAUUACUAAAACAUCCUCAAUUAACAGGUGCUAACGGGUUGACCCAAAGUGACCCGUUAUUUAACAGGUUCACCCGUUAACGACCCGACCCGUUAAGCAUCCACCCAAAUACUAAUAUUAACGGGUCAGAUCGGGUUAACGGGUCGGAUCCAAAAUGUCAGGUCUACUUCUGACUGAAGGAAACUGACUCACUGGUUGUCGUUUCAACCGUGAGUCGUGACUGAUAUUAGACGACAUGUCGUUUUGAGGGUCUCAAAGUUAAAUUGGGGGAUUAUCUUAUGAUGCAUGGACCCGGAUAUAUAUACUCAGCUUAUAUCGGUCCCACCUCUAAACUUUGGUGAUAAUUAUUGUUAUACAGAAAAAUUUCUUAUUUGGACGUAAAUAUUAAAGGGAGUUUUAACGAAAAGCUCAUGAUACUGUUCAUUUUAACGAAAAACCACAUUUUUACACUAAAAAGUCAAACCUGCUACUAUUCACUUUACCCUUUAUUUUGUCCUUAUCGUUAAAACUCAAAUUUUUCAAGUCAUUUUUGUUAGUUUUCCUAAUAUUAAAAUUUCAUUAGAGGUUGUCAUUCAAUUGUUACAUUUUAGGAUGAAAGUUGCGCUUUAGCUUUACUUGACUCCUGUUUUCAUAAUUUUUUUUCUUUUUCAAUUUUUGACCUAAUCUUAGACAUGAUUGCUUCUUUUAGAGUAUCAAGAGAUUCUACAAGCUUAAGCUUUAUGAUUGAACUCUCACAGUGUUGGUGAUGUCCAACCUUCUAAGAGAGUUGAGUCUUGUUAAACCCCACAGUGGGCGGUUUGCAAUGAGUUUUCUACAACACUCAAGACAUUGGACAGCCGAAUACUCCUAAUUCCCUCGUUCACUUGGGAAUAGACAACUGCCCAAAUUUUUUAUGUUUUCCAGAUGGAGGGAUGGAUGCGCCCAAAUUGGAGGAGCUGCUUAUCUCUUGAUGCAAGAAGUUGAGGUCGUUGCCAGAACAAAUGCAUACCCUUCUACAGUCUCUUCAGAAAUUAGGAGUAUUCGGCUGUCCGGAAGUGGAAUCAUUUCCUCAUGGAGGGUUGCCGUCAAAUUUACGAGUCCUUCGUCUUGAGUGUUGUAGAAAACUCGCUGCAAACCGCCCACUGUGGGGUUUAACAAGACUCAACUCUCUUAGAAGGUUGGACAUCAGAUUCAGUGAAGAAGAUGGAGAAGAAAUGGGAUGUUCGUUUCUGGAAGAAGGUUUGUUGCCCGCCACUCUCACUAGUCUCUCCAUCAGCUUUCAUCCAAAUCUUACAACCAUCCAAGGCAAGGUUUUGAGACAACUCACCUCUCUUGAACACCUCACAAUAAAAGGAUGCCCGGAGCUCCAAGGCUUUCCAGAAGAAGCACCCAAAUCUCUGAAAAGCUUGACUAUUUCGGAUUGCCCUAAUAUCGGGUGCUUGCCAGGAGAAUGGCUUCCCACAUCUCUUUCUCGACUGGAAAUCCGAAGGUGUCCGCUGUUAAAAGAACGAUUCCGGGAAGAUUGGCCCAAGAUUUCUCACAUCCCCAAAAUAUAUAUCAGCAUGAAUGUUCGCGUCAUCCCAAAACACUUUAGUUGGAUACGUUUCUGAUGGUUAUUUUUUAGGAAAAUUAAUGAAAAGGGUUUGAAAACUUUGAGUUUUAAUGAUAAGGACAAAAUAAAGGGUAAAGUGAAUAGUACCAGGAUUGACUUUUUAGUGUAAAAAUGUGAUUUUUCGUUAAAAUAAACAGUACCGGGAGUUUUUCGUUAAAGUUUCCUAUUUUUUUUAGUAUGUUUGGUUAGUACUCCAGCUCCAGGCUCAUUAUCUUUGUAUGCAAGUUGUCUCGAUCGAUUCGAUUUGUGUUGCCAGUUUAAUUAAAUGAGCUUUAAUAAAAAAAGUUUUGACUAAAUUUAAUUUAAUCAAAAACCAUUAUAAAUUAAGGAAAACUCAUGAAAAGGGCUUGAAAACUUUGGAUUUUAACCAAAAACCAUGUUACAACUUUAUUUAAUGGUUAAUACAAAGCCCAAUACUAAAGCAAUCCAACUACAAUGGCCCAACCAAAAUAAUAUCAUUACUUGUCGAUUUUGCCCCUAACGUUUUAGGUUAAGUCAGUUUUGUUUUAUUCUGUCAGUUUACUUUUGCCCUUUUCAGAAAGCUGAAAAAGUCACGAUUCUUUAUAUUCACCCCCAACAACUCAUAAAUCCCACGAGCUCCCUCUCGCGCUCCCCCAUUCUCUCUUUCACUUUCUCUCUCUAACUUUGUAUCUGCAACUCCAUUUCGAUUUUUCAAGUUGAUGAUGGGAAACUGAUUUAGUGCGCAAAUAAAGAGAGGAGAGAGAAGAACACACAUAAAUUCUGGGUUUUAUUCAUCUGUCAUUUGAUUUUCUAAUCCCGGAUUGCUUCUCGUUUGCUUCCAAAUCCUGAAUUAUUUCUUGAAGUCAAUGAGGGUGUUGAAUUUUAUUAGUCCGAGGUUGGUGAGUCAUCACAGAAGAGGGUUUGUAUUUCAAUUCGGAAGGAGGGAGGUUGAUUCGGUGGAACUGGAUUUGUCAAAGUGGGUGAUUGGGGGCUCCGCCGAUGGAUUCGCAAUGGCAACAGAAACUGAUUCGCUGGCAAGGUGAUGUGGAGUUAAAGGGCACUCAAUGCACUAAAACUGAUGUGGGUUUACAAUGUUAGCAUGUAAAACUCUUAACAAAUUCUGCUAAAGUUAUUCUUGUGACUCUCUCAAACUCGCAUCUCGGUGGGUUUACAAGGGGUGGGCUAGGUUCAAUUUGGUCUGGGUUGUGGGCGACCAAAACUGAUGUGGGUAUUUUUGUAUGCGUAAAUGGAGAGAGAAGCUUAGUUUGUGUGGAAAAACAAAUUAAAGGAAAGUCAAAAAAAUUGAUUGAGAGAAAUGUCAAAUAACAAACACGAAUAUGAUAGUUCUAGUUACGAAAUAGUGAUAGUAUUAGUGUUCGGUUUUAAAAAUAGUCAGUGUUUAGUUUACGAACUAGUGAUAGUACUAGUGUUCUAUUUGAGAAAUAAUCAGUGUUUAGUUUACAAAACAGUGAUAGUACUAGUGUUCGUUUGAUAAAUAGUCAGUGCUUAGUUUACGCAAUAGUGACAGUACUUGUGUUCAGUUUAUGAAAUAGUGAUAGUACUAAUGUUCGGUUUAAGAUAUAGUCAGUGUUUAAUUUGAGAAAUAGUGUUCAUUUUAAGAAGUAGUCAAUGUUCAGUUAAGAAAUAGUGAUGGUACUAGUGUUCCGUUUGAGAAAUAAUCAGUGUUUAGUUUACGAAACAGUGAUAGUACUAGUGUUCCGUUUAAUAAAUAGUCAGUGUUUAGUUUACGAAACAGUGAUAGAACUAGUGUUUGUUUGAGAAAUAGUCAAUGUUUAGUUUACGAAACAGUGAUAGUACUAGUAUUCCGUUUAAAAAAUAGUCAGUGUUUAGUUUAUGAAACAGUGAUAUUACUAGUGUUUCGUUUAAGAAAUAAUCAGUGUUUGGUUUACGAAAUAAUGAUAGUACUAGUGUUCGUUUGAUAAAUAGUCAGUGUUUAAUUUUCGAAAUAGUGACAAUACUUGUGUUCAGUUUAUGAAAUAGUGAUAGUACUAAUGUUCAGUUUAAGAUAUAGUCAGUGUUUAAUUUAAGAAAUAAUGUUCAUUUUAAGAAGUAGUCAAUGUUCAGGUAAGAAAUAGUUAUAGUACUAGUGUUCCGUUUGAGAAAUAAUCAGUGUUUAGUUUACGAAACAGUCAUAGUACUAGUGUUCAAUUUAAUAAAUAGUCAGUGUUUAGUUUAUGAAACAGUGAUAGUACUAGUGUUCGUUUGAUAAAUAGUCAAUGUUUAGUUUACGAAAUAGUGAUAGUACUAGUGUUCCGUUUGAUAAAUAGUUAGUGUUUAGUUUACGAAAUAGUGACAGUACUAGUGUUCGUUUGAUAAAUAGUCAGUGUUUAGUUUACGAAAUAGUAACAAUACUUGUGUUUAGUUUAUGAAAUUAGAGGCCAAUACAAACCUUGUAUAAUCUAUUUAUGAAACAGAACACGGGUACUAUUUAUGAAACUGAACACGAUUACUAUUUAUGAAAUAGGACACGGAAACUAUUUAUGAAACUAAUCAAGGGUACUAAUUAUGAAAUUGAACACGGGUACUAUUUAUGAAACAGAACAUGAAAACUAUUUAUGAAACUGAACACGGGUAUUAUUUACGAAACAGAACACGAAAACUAUUUAUGAAACUGAACACGGGUACUAUUUAUGAAAUUGAACACGAUUACUAUUUAUGAAACUGAACACGGAAACUAUUAUGAAACUGAACACAAAAAUUAUUUAUGAAACUAAACACGAGUACUAUUUAUGAAACUAAACACAUAUACUAUUUAUAAAACUAAACACGAGUACUAUUUAUGAAACUUCAAAUAUACCAAAUACAACAAUGUACCAUUUUUUUCAUUCGUGAGAAUAAAGUAGAAACAUACAACAUGUUGAGUAAAUCAAGAAAGCAUAUGCCACCACCAAACUUAUAUUAAAAAUCGUAACUUUUAAUUUGAACACAUCACAAUUUCCAACACAAUAAUCCAAAAUUAACUAAACUAAUCAGUCAAGUAGAAAUCAGGAGUGCAGAUCUUCUGCACCGAAAAUUAUAUGUGGCCUCUCAUUGGCUUCCCUCAAAAUUUACACUUGUCCCUCAAUUGAUUCAAUAUAACAUUGUUAACUAUCCAAAUAAAAACUCUGAAAAAAAAAAGAAAAGAAAGGAAAAUAGCAGCCCAUUACCCAGUCUUCACCUACCAACGCCACUAGCGCACAAUCCAUCAUCAACCCCACCGCGUCCAAAAUUGCAAAACCAAAAAACAAGGGGAUUUUUUUCGAGUGAGGAAGGUGAAAGGUCUGCGACUCUCUGUCCGAGAAAAAAACAACAAGGGGCAUUGAUUCCAUCUGCAUCAAAGUAAUUUUUUUGUCCUUAUGGGAGGAAAAGAAAAGAAAAAGAUAGGAAGUUUUAUUUGAUCGAGGGGAUGGCUGAAAAGGGGAAUCAGUUUCUGUUGCCAUUGCGAAUCCAUCGGCGGAGCCCCCAAUCACCCACUUUGACAAAUCCAUUUCCACCGAAUCAACCUCCCUCCCUCCAAAUUGAAAUACAAACCCUCUCAUGUGAUGACGCACCAACCUCGGACUAAUCAAAUUCAACACCCCCGUUGACCUCAAGAAAUGAUUCAGGAUUGAAGUUUAAUUCUAACAGAUUGGUUGACAGAAUGCGAUUUCUGUUAGGGGCAGGGGCUGGAAAAAAAAAUAUUCUGUUUUGGGUUUUUAAUUCAUCCCAUGUGGGUUUAAUGGUUGUGGGCCUAAAAUAGAUUAGUUUUGUCCUUAUAAUUAAAUAUAAAGCCCUUUUGAUUAAAUAAUAGUAUAUGGUGGUUUUUGGUUAAAUUAAACUUUGUUCAAACCAUUUUCAUUAAAGCUCCCUAUAAAUUAUUAUUUAACUGAAAAAACUUCAUAUUUAAUUAUAAGAACAAACAAACUUAUAUUAGGUCCUGCAAACAGUAACAGACAUGGACUGAAUUAAAAAGCCCAACAUGCAAUAUCUUUUUUUCCAGCCAUGCCCCUGACAGAAAUGUCAUUCUGUCAGCCCAAUUCCAUUAGAAAUAAAUUUUCCUUUUUUUACAAGUAUGUCACCACCUCCCAAAGCCCAAAUAUUAUAUGAAAAUGAAAAUUUUGAAAGUUUCCAUGAAUUCUCCUAUCAGAACGUCCCUAAUUGUAGCCUAAGUGAUUUGACUCUUAAAUAAAUAAAAAAAUAAGCUAUUAUCAUCAAUGUUACUUAUUAUUCAUGUUUGGGCGAAGUGCUGAUUUAGUCCCUGAACUAUCACCUCAGUGAAAAUUAGGUCCCUGAAUUAUUUUUUUCGGUAAAAUAAGUUCCUAAAUGCAUUAGAAAUUGCUAAUUUCAUUCAUACUAUUAUAUUCAUGAGAGCUUUAAUGAAAAGUGACACACCCCGAUCCGGAGGAUCCAGGUGUGCUGGCCGUCACGUGGGCGUGACGUAACCAUAGGCACGACACGGAAGCGGAAUAACAACAUCAAUCAACAGAAGUUCAAACCAAACUCAAACAUAACCAUCUACGGACAUAACCGGACGAGUUAUAAGGUAAACACAUAAGUUCAGAGCAUAGGUUAACUGCAGUCAAGUAGGACUAAAAUAAAAUACAUCACCCUCAGGUGAGUCCUACAUGUCGAAAGUCUGUUAGAAAGCCGGAAAAGACCUCGAGAGUCACCAGCCGCUAAAUUAGAACCUGGAGGGGCGCAAAACAAAAUGAGUGGGUCAGUAAAAACCAAAGAUUUUCCAAAACAUUUCAAUUAAAACAUUUCUAACCCCUCACCGUAAAACCUGUAUACAUUCCCAGAAAAUAUAUAUAACCAUAUGAAAUCUCAAAACUUAAAUCUCAAACCUUUAACAUUUUUCAAGAAAACAUGCCAUGCCAUAAAUCAAAAUAUAAAUCAGGUGAAAUAAGGAAUCAAUCGGAGACCAUGCAGUUGGUCCUAUACGAUUAAUUCAAUAGCUCAAUAUCCCACUAAGCCGGAGUCACCACAGUGACCUGUACGGCCCUACUCUGCACAUCACUCGGAACUACGUAAGGUAGUCUAUACGAUGAAAGGUGUAAAAAUACGCUUUAGUGCUUCACUCAUCAUAUCAUCAGUGCGCAUAACUAAGGUCACCCACUAGUCGGAAUCACGCCUAGUGAUCUAUACGACUAGCAUGUCGGAACCCUCACAUGGUCUGUACGACAUCCACCUACUUGGAUCCGAGGCGAGCGUGCGGUGUGGUGAAUAAUAUAAGCACUAACACCUAGGGUGCAUGUUAUGAGCUCAAAACAUCUCAACAACAACAAUUCAAUGAAUAAAUGAACUCACCUGACUUACCUGUGCCUCCACAGCACCAUGCAACAUGUAUGCAUCAUAUAUCAAUCAUAUAUCUCAUGUGAAAUUCAUAUUCAUCAAAUAAUCCUAUGCAUGGCAUUUUAAAACAUAUUUUCAUAUAAAUUCAUUUUUCUGGGAAAAAUCGAUAGUAUAAAGGUAAUACGAAAGCAAAACUGCCCAUUCACUGAUAAGUCGACGGGUCGUAACCCCCGUGGCGUCCCUGGAUGCGGUCGUCCUCGGGAUACGUCUCACCUAUAUGCGAAACAACUAAAAUGACAUUAUUUAAAGCACAUCACCAACGUUUCGUAAUAAUUUCUCAUACGAUACUCAAUCUUGACAAAUGAAUACACCAACGCGAUCUACACAACCUCACGAGCAUCGCAAAAUUUUUAAAAUAAUUUUUUGAAGCCUCACGCGCCCCCACGCGCCAAAACAGGCACGGGUCUACGCGCCCCCACGCGCAGCCACGUGCGAGUCAUGCGGACGGCGUCAGUUGACGCCGUCAGGAAUAUUCCCGGAAUAUUUCGUCAGAACUAACGGUUACCGUUACUGCCGUUAGGAAUAUUCCGUUAAAACUAACGGAAUAUUCCUCCUUCUUCUCCGACCUACCCUCGCCGGACUCUGGUCACCGGAAAACUGGGAAAAUUUUCUAACUAGCUAUUCUCACUCAUUUUUCGUCCAUUUUUCUCGUACUUUACACCAAAAUGAAGCCCUAAAUGAGUACUAUCACGAUGGACUAAUUUUAAACACCAAAAAGCACGGGAUCAUACCUUCCAAAAAUCCAAGAAAAUCGGCCAAACUCGAACUAGGUGAUCUCGACGUCCAAUUCUUCCAAAUGAAGCACUCCGAGCUUCCUUAGGACUUCACCAAGCUUCCUACAAGCUUCAAAAUCCCAAAAACUUAAAGAUUUAUGUGUGCAUGAACAGUGCACCACCACGGGGACUUUGAAAUCUAGGGUUUUCGAAGGAAACAUUACCUGAAAGUGGUGUCAGUGCAUUCGUGAAGUCUUCAGGAGUCCAUUGGUGUCCUCAAGAUCGUCGAUCCACAAAGUUUGGAAGGGUUUUGGGAUCUGUCCGUACAAUUUGGAGAGGAAGAGAGACUAAGAGGGAGAGAUCGUGAGGGAAGAGAGAGAGAGGGAAGACACGGGGAAGGAGAAGGAGAGAGAUCUUUUUGUGGUCCACACCAAUCCACCCAUACAUUUCAUCCUAACCAUACAUAAAAAUCCAUCUUUCAAAAUAUUUUCUAAUACCCUUGCAUAAUAUUUGAACAAAUAAAGUCUCACACACACGUACCUUAACAACGUCAAGGGCAAUCUCGUCAUUUCAUAUUCCCGUCAAAAGUACUUCUGGGACGGGCUGUGACAAAAAGGGCUUGAGUUAAGUUUACUUUAACAAAAAAUCAUCCUAUACUAUUAUUUAACCAAAACGGCUUUAUAUUUUAUGAUAAGAACAAAACUAUUAUAUAUCAGGCCCUAUAAACCUUGAAUACACAUGGGCUGAAUUAAAAGCCCAAAACGAAAUACUUUUUUUUUUUCCAGCUCUUACCCCUAACGGAACCCCACUCCGUCAGCCACUCCAAUUAGAAAUAGACUUUCCUUUUUUACAAGUAUGCCACUUCCUCAUUAAAAAACAAAAUAUUGAAAUAAAAAACCCCAAUAAUUUAUACGAUCACAAAUCUCAUCUUGAAUUUUGUUCGUUCUUGCUUCGUUAAUUUUAAAUCGGAGGGAAAAAUGUUAGGACCUGUUUGGUUGCUCAGAAAAUUUCACUGAGAUUCUGUUUUCUGUUUAGAGUUUGAAACUUGCAGAGUUAAUUUCAAUGGAGGAAGCUCAGAAUGGAGCCCUCAUUUUUGCGUUUUAUUAUGCUGAUUUGAGUUCCGAAAGACUGAAAAUCCCAAAAAGAUUCAUGAGAAAAAUGGAAGGCAGAAUAACUGGGUUGGUUUUUUUGUUCGACCUUAGCGGCAGUGCGUGGAGGAUUGAAUUGAUUCAACAGAAUGGUGGUUUUUUCUUGCAUCAUGGGUGUAGUGGCUAAGCCAGAAUUUGUCGAGGGGAGGGGCGAAAUUCAAAAGAAUGCAAGGUUUCAAUUGAAGCGGUUGCUUUUAUAUUGGACAGUGCAAAGUUUUAAGUCAAUAUUCAUAACAAAAAACAGUCUCUUCACCACAACGGUUGUAAGCGGUAAUAUCAAAGCUAUGUAAGAAGCUUAAAUUGGUUAGGAUUAGAUUCUAAGAAAAUAUUAGGCGCUAUGGACUGAGACCUAGCAGCUAGGCGCCUAGACAUGAUUUAAGUAGGAGCCUAGAUGGAUUUAAAUAUAUUUUUUAUAUCGUAAAAUAAGUAUUAAACAAUAUUUAUAUUAUUUUUUAAAAAUUAGUACAAUAUUUAUAGAUAAUAUGAAAGUUUAAGAUAAAUAUGCUAUGGGUCUUAAAUAAAUAAUGUGAGAGUUAAACAUAACUUUGUUAACUUUUAAUAAGUUAACAAAUAAAUAAUAAAAAGUAAAUUAAAACCAGGGGUAGAAUCCCCUCAGUUCUUGCAAAACACAAAACAAUUGACCCCAAAUCAUAAUGAAAGAUCAAAUUCCAAAUUUCCAUCCCAAUUUUCCCUAGAAACAAACUGAAAAUUCUCUUUCUAGGAAGUAGAAGAAGCCGAAAAGAAAAGCAUCGCCGCUUGUCAGCGGUGGGUGAGGUGGUGUCUCUGCUUGAUUUCAACAUUAGUUCGGGUCUUUCUUCACAAAGCUUCGAGCCACCAUUUCCAUGGCCGGUGACAAAAUCUAUCGCAUAUGGAUUCUUCUUGUCCGUCAAUGGCGAACCCGCCUGUAGGCAGAUGACAUCUUCAAUGAUUUUUCUUCGAACCCAGGUGCGCCCACAUCCUGCCCCAUUUCCGUCAAACAAAUAAAGAAGGAGACAUGAAUGAGACACCACUUUCGGGACAGCAGCCCCGGAGCCGUAGUCAGUACUACUAUGUUGAUAACCAAACACCUCAUUUCUCCUACCACUACCCCUGCCAUGGCAAAUCUGCAAACUCGAAGUCGAAGCCCUUCAUCGAUCCCAUCGCAACCUACUCCCAAAAAAAAAAUUGCAUAUCUGCUGCUGCUGUGCGCAGUAGAACAGAUCACCCAACAACACAAACAGAGGAUGAACAGUGGGUUUUUCAAAGAGGAGGGGAGUGGCGAACCCAGCUCUGCAGUGGUGUUUCCCGGCGAAGCCGCCACUCCUCACCCUCACGUGGCUUUGCCACUGCAUGGGUGGUUAACAUUUGUGAUAGACCAUUACGUAGAAUGCUGGGACUUCUUGAUUUUUAGAUACGACGGUGAUUUGCGUUUCACCGUGCUAAUCUCUUAUAAAAGUUUGUGUGAGAAAGAAGCUGCAUUUCGUUUUGGAUAUAGCCAAGCCUCUAGCAACUUUGAAAAGUAUGUGUAUAUGGAACGAAAAAGGGGAAGGGAGGAGGCCGCAUCUUCUGGCAAUAAGCUGGUUGAUGGUGCGACGAAGAAGAUGAGAAAUGGCUUGUCUCAGUUCCACUCAGAAUGCAUCGAUGAGGGCUGAGAAGAAGCAACUUGUUCCAAGGAAGAAAAUCCACAUGAAAAUCCCUGGCUUGGAUGUUGUACUAAGAAAAGUCUGGUUUGGAUGUUGUUCUAUAUAUAUAAAGCAAAGUUUCAAAGAAAUGAGACCAUAAUAAAAAUCUUGUUGAGUAGCACCCACCAUUAACAUUCCAUCCUGCGCCACAAUGCUGGCAAACACUAGUAGUACUAGUGCAUUGUUAUUUGUUAUAGUACCUGUGAGCCAUUCAUCCAAAUUUCCUUAAACGUGCUUGUUACUUGUUUGAUUUUAUAUAUACAGCAUCAGCAUAGCACACAUAACUAAGAUGACUUGUCGUGAGGGUGGUGGGUUAGGAUUAGCUAAUUUGGUAAUCCAACUUCUGGUUGCCUAAUUGACUAAUAGUCUAAUUAUAAUUAAAGUCAUUGUCGUAAUUGCGUUCAAUGUUACUUAUUAGGAUGAGUUAUUUUGGUUCUGUUAAAAAAUAGUUAGUCAGUUUAAUAAAUAGUGUAGUACAUGUGUCAGUUUCAUAAAUAGUUUAAUAAAUAGUGUAGUACCCGUGUCAGUUUCAUAAAUAGUCAGCCAGUUUAAUAAAAAUAGUGAGUGACAAUGUCAGUUUCAUAAAUAGUGUAGUACAUGUGUCAGUUUCAUAAAUAGUCAAUCAGUUUAAUAAAUAAUGUUGUACCUAUAUCAAUUUCAUAAAUAGUCAGUCAGUUUAAUAAAUAGUGUAGUACCCAAUGUCAAUUUCAUAAAUAGUGAGCUUAAUAAAUAGUGUAGUACAUGUGUUAGUUUCAUAAAUAAUCAAUCAGUUUAAUAAAUAGUGUAGUACCCAUGUCAAUUUCAUAAAUAGUGAGUUUAACAAAUAGUGUAGUACUUGCAUUAGUUUCAUAAAUAAUCAAUUUAAGAAAUAGUUAGUGUUCAGUUUAAGAAAUAGUGAUAUUAUUAGUAAUCAGUUUAAGAUAGAGUGAUAGUAUCUGUGUUUAGUUUUCAAAAAUAGUUAGUAUUCAGUUUAAGAAAUAUUGUAGUAUUCGUAUUUAAUUUCAGAAAUAGUCUGUUUAAGAAAUAGUGUAGUAUCAAUUUUUAGUUUCAGAAAUAGUACAUGUGUCCAGUUUCAGAUAUAACCAUUAAAAAAAAAGAGUUUAAUAAAAAAAGUUUGGACUAAGUUAAUUUUAACCAAAAAAACAUCCUAUAAUCUUCUUUAAUAUAAGAAGCUUGAAAUUUAAUAAACAUGACAAAAUACAAUAUAACAAAAACUAAAACUAAAGCCUCAUAGGUAGUAAAUAAGCCCACAUGCAAAACCAAAUUUUUUUAUUCCAACCAAUACCCCUGAUGGAAACUCCAUUCCGUUAGUCCAAUUCCAUCAGAAAAUUGAUUUUUCCCAGGUUUGAACUGAAUGAAAGGUUUGUCGGGGCCACACUUCCAUUAAAUAUUAGUUUGGUUGCGUCGUGUCUGCAUGUCCAUGAGUUUUAGCCUCCAACUCUCCUUUCUCAGUAUCUUAGCCACUAAGAUGUGUCACAUGCCCCACUGCCUUCUCUAAUCUUAAAAAUUAGAACCUUCAUCCCCAAUUAUUACUCCGUUGUUAUUAUUUUAAUUAUUAAUUUAUUAGCACUAUAAUUAGGCAUAUAUAUGUAAGUAUAUCCACCACAAAAUAGCAUAUUAAAUUUCAAGUACAUCAAUCUUUCCCAUUUCUUAAAGACACCAUAGAAAGCAAUAGCAACUUCACUCAUUUUUUCUUCUUACUCAACAUUCUUUCAUUUAACCCGAUUUCCGACACAACCUGAAAAAGAAAUCGAAACCGUGAGAGAAAAGUGUAUGGCAUGUACCGCAGGUUUAUUGUCAUGUAUUUUUGAGCACGGCACAAAUUGCUUCUCUCUGCAUCUCCUCUCUUUAGUGUCUGAUUUUGGUUUGAAUGCAUGUGAUGUUCCUCAUCCUAUAUGCUAUCUUUUACUAAUUAAAUUUAGAGCCCAGUCAACAUCUUCCUCAUUUGUUUGCCAUAUCCAUAUACUCUUUCACUUGCAAAACAUUAAUCAUAUAUAAUUAAAAUUGAAUUGAUUAAAUCUCGAUUGGUCUCAACUUCCAAGGAAAAUAGAGGAACUAAAAUGAGAAAGAAGGAUUGCUUAUUUACUAAUUUAUAAAUUAGUAAGAAAUUAGAGGAAUUGAAUUAAGAAGGAUUUAGCCUGAGGAAGAUUCAAAAUCAAAAUCAUGUUAAAUGCUUAUUGAAAUAUUUAUAGAAUCAAGGUAAGAUUAAUAUAAAUUUCAUAUAAACUAUUUAUAAGUUAAACACACACACUCUCUCUCCCUCACUAUUUUUAAAAUGAUUAUUUAAAAAAAAUGAACACGGGUACUACAGUUGUGAAAUCUCGUUUCUGGAUUUCAUUAUUAUAAUUUACGUAUUGGUAUUAUAGAGAUUUUAUAUUAUUUUUUUCGGGACUCAGUAGACCAUUUGAGGUCACAAUUUAUAUUGUUGAAUAGAUAUCGAGAUCACGAACGCAUUGGCUAAAGCCGUUUGCAAGUUCGGAUUAUAACGGUAUAGUUACAAAUGUUUGAAGUUGUUGCUAAAAAAAAAAGAAAAUUGAAAAGAGAAGAAAAAGCCACGGGAGUGGCUGAAAAAAAAAAAGAAGUAAAGAAAGCCACACUGGUGGCGAGAGAAAAGAAGGAAAAAAAAGGGGAACGGACCCUUCUCCGCACACACAUACCCAUUCCGUCGAUCCGGUUAAUUUCGGUGGAUUUCUAGCCAUUUUCAUGCGAAUUUCACCCAAUCAUCACCUGAAAUCACCACCACAUUCCUUCUCCUUCGAUAUUCAUUCAAGAUUGGACGAAAAUUGGGUUGAAUUUGGUGAAACUCGCACCGGUGGGUGCGAGGGUUCCUUGUCUUCAAUCCACCAUUUUGGAAACGAUUUCCUUCGAUCUCCAUCGCCAUUGGACUCCCCUUGAGCCUUGGAACAAAGCCCAAUUAGUUGUAAGGGUGACAAAACACCAAGGAGGUCGAAUUGAAGCACAUCCAAUUUCUAAGGUUCCGGCGGGUUCAUCAUGAAUUGAGGUGUUUCUCGGCCAAAUUGGCCUUAGUCACAGGUAUCAAACUUCAUCUACUCUUCAAAAGCUUCAAGUUGGUAUGCUUGGUUCGUGCUUUCGUAUUCAUUUUAGUGUUGGGUGUUUACAACCCUAGAAAUCCAGUUUUCUUCGGUGAAUUUGGACAGUUUCCUGUUAGAAUUUAUCGUCGGCCUAGUUGUGAAAAGUGUUUCCCUUGUUGAGCUCUAGCUACGACGUAAAUUUGAACUCAUUUAGUUAAUAUUGAAAAUUCGGGUUUUCAAAACCCUCCAACUUGGCUACCACCGAGUAUGGCGGUGCGUGGGACCGUCCACGAGUGUUGUCUAAGUACUAAAUAUCUUUUAGUGACCCUAUGAACCUAUGUCUAGCGCGGUUUCCCGAAAUUCAAUUGUUUGAUGUGGUGAUCAAAUUGGACCACCAUUUGUUUGUAUGAUUGACGACAAUCCGAUCGUUGGAUUGUCAUACAAUUUUGUGAGCACCUUAGUUAUCAGUUGUUGGACCUUUGAGAACUUAUGGAUCGGAAAUCCGAUGUGCGGAUCUUCUGGUUUGAAUAACCUUAGAUUGUUGAUCUUAAUGGACUUACCUUAUCGACAGUGGACGUUCUAGUCAACGUGCUAUACUCUAGAGUGUCGUUUAUCUCUAGUUUGUUGUUGAGGCUUGAUGGAACUUAGUUGGCUCAUCACGAUGACGUGUGUUUCUCUGUUGACGUGUGUCUUGAUAUAUGUAUUAGUGGCAUCAUAUUGAGUUAUACUUGUUAAUUAAAUGUGCUUUCUAUUGAAGUGUUAUUUUAUUUUUAGCAUCGAUCUAUGUUUAUUAAUUGUGAUUCGACUGUAGCUUGGAAACGUUUAUGAAAUGUGGUUAGAUAUGUAUGAUCAGUAUGAUGUGUAUGAUUGUUUUUAGGACGAUGUGAACCUAGAAUCUUAUGAGAAGUAUUAUGUAUAACUUUAAUGCUUGUAUGAUAAGAUAGUUAGUGGUCAUGAGAAGUUGAUAGUGCAAUUGAUUCCGUUGAGUGAUGGUCUGAAAUCCCUUCUACUCCAUGAUUCCGUUGAGUGAUGGUCCGGAAUCGUAUCCUUGUUUGGAUUCCGUUGAGUGAUGGUUCGAAAUCCCUUCUACUCCGCGAUUUCGUUGAGUGAUGGUCCGGGUAUCCUUGUUUGGAUUCUGUUAAGUGAUGGUUCAUAAUCCCUUCUACUCCACUAUUCCGUUGAGUGAUGGUCCAGAAUCGUUUCCUGGUUUGGAUUCCAUUAAGUGGUCCAAAGUUACAUCACUUGACUUGUUGGUUUCUUAGAUUUGAUAUCAGCUUCAGAGAUGUAGGUUUGGCUUAACUGUGUCACUUUAGCCUUAGUUUUAGAAUAUUUGUGAGCAAUGGUUUUGAGAAUCUUGUGAAUUGAAUUAGAAAAGCUGUUGGACGUUUGGGUGACUCCUUCAGGAUUUUCUAUGAUUCGAUUAUGAUUUCAUAAAGUAUGAAUUUAGAAGAUAUGGUUAUAGUUGUUAUUAUUUUGGGCAAAUUAACUAUUAAUGUAGCUAGAGAAUUGUAUUGGGCUUCGUCGGUUCCUUGAUAUGAUAUAUAUUGUGAAUUGCGGUAUCAUGUUGCGACAUAAUGACUUAUAUAGAAGAUGGAAGGAAAAUCUUGAUUUUCAGGUGGGUUUGUUAUUUAACCCUGAGUCUAGUAAUUUCAUGCUUGUCAAGUUCUAUUGAUUGAUUGAAAAAUUUUAUGCCUUUCGGCUUAAAUGGACAAUGACAUAUGUCAAUUAUAGUGCAUGAAGAACUACGAAUGACUUGAUCCCUGUUUAGGGUACGUAGGUAGUCUAACAAGGAGGUUAGAUGCAGUCAUAAAGCAUAAGAAAAAUUAUUAUGCGAUUCGAUUAUCGAAUUGUGCUCUGCCCAUAUCCUGGAGGUGGGGUAUGAUAGAUACGGGUAUUUGGUAACGUCACGUGUCGAUCCUAGACGUAUGUCGGGAUCGGGGCGUGACAACAGUAUUUCUGAAACUAAACUCUACUAUUUAUGAAACUAAACACAACUACUACACCAUAUCUAAAACUAAACACUGACUAUUUAUGAAACUGAACACAUGUACUAUCAUUAUUUCUAAAAUUAAGCAAUGAUAAUAUCAUUAUUUUUUAAACUGAUCACUAACUAUUUUUGAACUAAACACGAGUGUUACACUGUUUUUGAAACUAGACCUUACUAUUUCUAAAAAUUGACCAGGAGUAAUAGCACUAUUUCUUAAAUUGAAUAUUGGUACUAUCACUAUUUCUGAAACUGAUCACGGAUACUGCACUAUUUCUGAAACUGAUCACGGAUACUACACUAUUUCUGAAACUGAUCACGGAUACUACACUAUUUCUAAAACUUAGCAUAGAUACAACACUAUAUCUGAAACUGAAAACGGACUAUUUCUGAAAACUAAACACGAGUAUUAUCACUAUUUUUUAAAUUGGACAUUGACAAUUUCUGAAUAUUAAAAACCUUGAUCAUACAAUAUGCACUCUUGCAUAUACAAAUUCAAGAUCAAAUGUGUAUGAACCUUGAGUAUUGAUUUCUUUCGUAUAAGGACAACAAAAUCAAUAUCCCUUUGGGAAAAGUGAAUAUGCCUGUCCUUUACACUAGCGCAGAGUUCCAUUGACUCUAGCUUGGCAGCAAUUCGUGCUACGCAACCAUCCACAACAAAUAUUGUUGAGAUAUACCAACGGGGUAUUUCCAAUUAGCUGCAGGAAUCAAGAGGACAAUAAGAGUGCAUUAUAGGCCAAAUCAAAAUAUUAAACAAAAUAAAUAUUUAAAGCUAAAUUGAAUGCUUAAGUUUCAUGAAGAAAAAUGGUACUUCGGUGACAUCGUUCUUGAUUGCAAAUUUGACUUGCAUAUUUAUCUUCUCUUGCAGCAAGCUGUGAAAACAGAUUCAAAUGUUCAAUUCUACUGCAACCCAACCAAUCUUUACAUUUAAAAAAUAAUUCAUUUAUUAAUUUAAACAAUAAAAGUUCUACAAAUCAAAAGCAACCAGAAAAUUCCAAACACUUAAUCAUGUCAUCUUCUUAAAAAAUCACUUGAAAAAAAUAUUUGCAAAAGCCCAAAAAUAGUCAACAUAAUCAAAACUAGAAGACCCCAAAUAUGCAGAAUAAAUAGAGAAAAACAAAUCCACACUUUUUUCACAAAUUCGAAACCAAAAGUACCUCUUGGAGUCCAUUUUAAAGCUAUCUCUGAUGAUUGUUAGAACUCGCUCGAACUCGUAGUUAUCAGUGGAAGACAGGUCGGGAGCGUCCCGAACUUCUCGAACUCUUCUAGGCCUUGACUUCCUCAUAGAUCACAAGGGUGGCGUCAUCUCUAUUGUAGACGAUAAGAUCAAAAUUAUAAAUUGAGAAAAUAGCAGAGAGAAAAUGACAUGAGAUAUGUAGAAACUUGUAGAAACCGUACAAAAGGUUUUUUUUUAAGGAAAACUAAUGAAAAGGGCUUGAAAACUUUGAGUUUUAAUGAUAAGGACAAAAUAAAGGGUAAAGUGAAUAGUACCAGGAUUGACUUUUUAGUGUAAAAAUAUGGUUUUUCGUUAAAGUGAACAGUACCGGGUGCUUUUCGUUAAAGUUCCCUUUUUUUUAUUUCAUCCGAAGUGAAACAGAUUAAAUAAAGGGAGCUUUAAUGAGAAGUGUUUCUCAAAAUUUUUAAUUAAACAAAAAUCAUUACUAACUUUAUUUAAUAAAAAUGAUUUAAACUUUAAUAAAAAAGAUUCAAAUUUUAAUGAAAAGGACAAAAGUUUUACAUAAUAACAAAAAUAAAAAAUAAAAAACCAACAAAUAGUGACUCGCAGGACCAUGUGUCACAUCACACACAUACACACACUCUCUCUCACUCAACCGUUCAAUCUCUUUCUCUCUCCCUCUUUCCCAUAUUCCCCUCAAUUUUUCUCUUCUUUCACCUCACUCAUCUACAUCAAAUUUUUUUUCACCUCGCCCCACUCUUCUCUCUCCUUUCACCUCACUCCAUAAAUAAUUUAUUUUUUAAUUUUAUUUUAUUACUUGUUCAUUUGACUAUUCGUUCAAUUUUUUUAGAACAAACUAAGUAAUAAUAUUACAAGAUCAAAAAUAAGAAAAAAAUUUAUUAUUCAGUUUUAUGAACACUAAUACUGUCACUAUUUCUUAAACAGAACAUUGACUUCUUCUUAAAUUUGAAAAUCGAACAAUAUUUCUUAAACUGAACAUUGACUACUUCUUAAACUGAAUAGUAUUUCUUAAAUUAAACACUAACUGUUUCUUAAACGUAACACUAAUACUAUCACUACUUCUUAAACUAAACAUUGACUAUUUCGUAAACUGGACACUAACUAUUUCUUAAACUAAACACUAGUACUAUUACUAUUUCGUAAACUAAACACUGAUUAUUUCUUAAAUUUAACACUAGUACUAUCACUAUUUCGUAAACUAAAUAGACUAUUUAUUAAACCAAAUAAUAGUACUAUCACUAUUUCGUAAACUAAGCACAAAUUAUUUCUUAAACCAAACACUAGUAUUAUCACUAUUUUGUAAAUUAGUACUGUCACUAUUUCGUAAACUAAACACUGACUAUUUCUUAAACCAAAAACUAACUAUUUUGUAAACUAAAUACUGACUAUUUCUUAAAAUCGAACACUAGCACUAUCACUGUUUUUUAAAUUGAACACCAAUUAUUUUAUAAACUGAACACAAAAGGUUCAAAAUUUGAAGCUCUCUUCUCAUUAUCAUAUGAAUCACUGGCAAUAAUAUUUAUAUUCUUACAGAGUUAGAAUAAUGAUUUUCACAUUCCUAUUUGUUCUUUAACAUUUCUUCAAACAAUUUAUUUGACUUUCCUUUAAUUUAUUCAAUACAAAAUUAACAACAAAAACAUAAAUGAAAGAUCAAAAAAGCUAAUGUGCUUUCAUUGAGGAUCAUAAUCUAAUAUUUUUUAUUUUUAGGUUUUAGCUGGUUAGGGUUAAAAUUAAUAAAGAAUUCCAUGAUUUGAACAUAGGGUGAUGAUGAGAUGCUACCCCACAUGCAAGGAAAAAAAUAUCGGUAAUAUCGGAAAUAUCGGUAGUCUGAAAACACGGAAAUAUCGAUGGAAAUAUUGGGAUAAUAUCGACAUCGAUAAAAAUUACAUGGAAACCACGGAAAUUGUAAGAAAAACUUGGAAAUUUUUAUUGAAACUUUGUAGGAUAUUUAUUUAGUCAAUUAUCUAUUAGUUUAUCACAAAAAAUUGGAAGGAAAUGCAUUGCAUGAUGGAUUUAACUGAUUUAAGUUGAUUAUAUAGCGAGCUGACAAACAUUGUGAGUGUAGAAAAUAUGUAGUAAUUAAUGAAAGAAGUUUAAACACACCAUAAUCAUUUAUAUAUAAUGAAUUAGUACAAUAUUUUACACUUUAUACAUUGCAUGGUAAGAUACAUGAGUGACUUGGUACCACAUAGAAUUCUUAUGAGGUUCAAAAUUUUCACUAUGUUGAAGGAGUAAAUGGGAGGGGUUCGAAUCCCCUUGGUGUUUUUUUUAAAUAUAGAAAUUUAUCCUAGAUAAUAAAUAUUAGCUUGCAAGUCUUGCAGACAUCUUAACGACCAUAUAAAUAUUACAGGCUGAAUAUGUAAUCACAAACACAUAUGUAAUCACAACUUAUUUAUAGUGUACUCAUUCUUUAUAUAAAAAUAAAAAAUAAAUAAAAAUAAGAAAAUUACCAUUUUGUUAUAUAUAUUUUCCAGAUCCGUAUACGUCAAAUGUGCGCAGAUCAAAUCAUAUCAGAUUAGAUAUUUUGCACACCCCAAGACGUCCACGUACAAGUCAGUAAAAAACCUAAAUCACCCACAUGGUGACACUAACAUUACUCGCACCUCUCAGCCCUCUAAUUUACGAAAGACCUCGUGUCUUCCCUUCGUUUCACAUAAUAUUUUCCCCUCCGAGCCUCCACCUCUCUCUCUCUCUCUCUCUAGUCAUUUUCCUUCCAACCAAACAGUCCAAAAUUUUUCCAAAAAAUUCAAAAAAAUGGACUCGACGCCAAUUAACUGGGAAGCCCUAGACGCUAUCGUCAUCGAUUUCAUCAAAUCGGAGAAGCUAAUCGAAGACGACGACUCCGCCUUUACGACGUCGCCUUCCCCUUCCUCUUCCUCUUCCCCCUCCUCUAUCUCCUCGUCGUCGUACCACUCGAGAUUGAUCAUUCGUCAGAUCAGGCGAACGCAGGAACCCUCGUCUUUCUCCCUCUCCUUCUCGUCUCUGUAACUUGGCGAACACAGGAACCCUCCGACGAGUUCCUUCAAUUUCUCCGGUUAGGUAAGCUUCGGGUUUUUCUUUUUAUGUUCUAGAUCGAAGCUUAGAUGUGAAAUUGAAGUUCUAUCUCGUCUUUUUGCAAGGUUUUUGGGAUGAAAUCGACUCGGGAAUAGGCAUACCCAUCUCUGGCGAGGCCAUGGGUGUCGAUGAACUUUCCGAACACCUCCGGCCGUUUCACGGCAAACAGACGUUAUAAAAACGUUCCUCUCAUCUUCUAUUUCAUUUUCAUACCUAGAUCGGAGUCUAAGGGGUUGUUUUAUAGUCGACCGGAGCUGUAGAAGCUCCGACGUUCGUCUCCGACUUGUACAGUUCUGAAAUUUCGCGAAAUUUUGACGAAAACCCCUUGGAUACCACUUAAAAUAUCGGUUUGGGGAAAAACCGAUAAUAUCGGCGAUAUAUCGCCGAUAUUAUCGAUAUUUUCUUCCUUGCCCACGUGUAAGGCUAAGUGGUAGUCAUGUAUUGAUGUUAGCAAUAUAUUUUUUUAUCUCAAAUUUCUUUCUCUCUAAAAUUUUUUAGGGUUUGUUGAUGUCAGUUUGGAUAGACUUGAUUGGCAUUUUCUUCUCUCUACCCUCACAAUCUCUCUCUCUGAACCUUUUUCCUUCCCGAUGAAUAUUUAAAAAGUAAUUUGUAUGCUGCUUUUGCACUGUUGGUUUUCUGUUGAACUGCUUGCUUUUGCACUGCUUGUGUGCACACGCGCUUUGGGUUGAACAAGUUUUUGUAUUUUUUGUUUUUUAUCUCUUGUCCUUAUCAUUAAAUAAAAGUUAUUAGGUGACUUUUGGUUAAAACUCAAAGUUUUGAAGCCAUUUUCAUUAGUUUUCCUUUAAAUAAACGGGAGAAGGUGCUACCAUUAGGGUAAAAUCGGAAACUCAUUGUUUGAGCCAGUUUUGAUUGGGCUAAUUUAAUGUUGGUUUGUCCUAAUCAUUAAAUAAAGUUAGUAGGUGGUUUUUGGUUAAGAUUCAAAGUUGUGAAAACCUUUUCAUUAGUUUUCCUUAUAUUCAAAGCUACUUUAUCCAAUUUUUCGUCAACUGAAGUCAUUUGACAUACUUUAGAGUGUAAUAUCAUCAUUUUCUCGUCUAUAAGUACUUAACAUUUCAUACAGGUUAUGAAUUUAAUAUCUAAUUUACCCUCAAAAGUUAACUUACACUAUUUCUUUAUGAAAAACUACCAAUUUUUCCUCGAAAGUUAACUUCAUACACUAUUUCUUUAUGAAAAACUACCAAUCUACCCUGUAAUGUGUAUAACAUGCAAGUAACGUGACUUAUAUUGACGGAAAAUUGAAUAUAGUGGCUUCGAAUAUAACAUUAGGGAUGUAAUUGGCAAAUUUUUAUAAUUAGGGACUAUUUUUUCUGAAAAAAAUAGUUUAGGGACCUAAUUUUCACUAAGGUGAUAAUUCAGAGACUAAAUUGGCAAUUUUACCUUCAUGUUUUAAAUAGGAAUGCAUCUUAAUAAUCAAGCAGCAUAAAUAAAAUAAAAUAAAUCUUAUAGUUCGACUACAAAACAAAAAUGGCACAUGAAAUUAAAAUUACAUAGUAGCAAUAUCCCAUACAAGUCGUCUUGUUAUUUUUUUUUUAUGCAAAUCAAUUUGGAAAUCUUAUUAUUUUCAUUCUCAUCCUGUAAUGUUGCAUGAUGAUUUGAACUGUUUAUCUUUAGGUCGUCAUUUAAAAACCAUCUCUACAAAAAUCUAAAUGCAUUCAAAAGUUUUUGCUCAUGUAACGAUUAUUCAAUAAUUCUUUUAAACACUGAAAUUAUGACAAUAUUAUUCUAAAAUGGUUUGACGAUAUCUAGUUUGGUUCUUUGUUGCAAAGUUGCUCUUUAAAGAGUGACCUAGAUAAUAUACGGUUUUGAUCAUUGAAUAACAUUGCUUGAUCAUAAAAAAGAAAUGAGAAAGUAGAAAGAAAAAAAAUUUACAUUAAACUAACCAAAAUAAAUUAGUUCAAAUUUGUCUUUGACGAGAAUUGAAUCUAAGAUUUCUCACGUGAAAGCAGUAAUACUAGAAUGUGAAGUUUUUUGGUAAAAUAAAUAAAGGAAAUAAAAUAACUGGCAUUACAUCAUACUCACCUAUCACGAUGUAUAUGUUCCAUACAUGUGGGCAGUGGCAAAGCCAGAAUUUGUCGAGGGGAGGGGCGAAAUUCAAAAGAAUGCAAGGUUUCAAUCGAAGCGGUUGCUUUUAUAUUGGACAGUGCAAAGUUUUAAGUCAAUAUUCAUAGUAGAAAACAGUCUCUUCACCAUAACGGUUGUAAGCGGUAAUAUCAAAGCCAUGUAAGAAGCUUAAAUUGGUUAGGAUUAGAUUCUAAAAAAACAUUAGGCGCUAUGGAUUGAGACCUAGCAGCUAGGCGCCUAGACAAGAUUUAAGUAGGAGCCUAGAUAGAUUUAAAUAUAUUUUUUAUAUCGUGAAAUAAGUAUUAAACAAUAUUUACAUUAUUUUUUAAAAAUUAGUACAAUAUUUAUAGAUAAUAUGAAAGUUUAAGAUAAAUACGCUAUGGGUCUUAAAUAAAUAAUGUGAGAGUUAAACAUAACUUUGUUAACUUUUAAUAAGUUAACAAAUAAAUAAUAAAAAGUAAAUUAAAACCAGGGGUAGAAUCCCCUUGGUUCUUGCAAAACACAAAACAAGUGACCCCAAAUCAUAAUGAAAGAUCAAAUUCCAAAUUUCCAUCCCAAUUUUCCCUAGAAACAAACUAAAAAUUCUCUUUCCAAGAAGUAGAAGAAGCCGAAAAGAAAAGCAUCGCCGCUUGUGAGCGGUGGGUGAGGUGGUGUCUCUGCUUGAUUUCAAUGUUAGUUCGGGUCUUUCUUCACAAAGCUUCGAGCCACCAUUUCCAUGGCCGGUGACAAAAUCUAUCGCAUAUGGAUUCUUCUUGUCCGUCAAUGGCGAACCCGCCUGUAAGCAGAUGACGUCUUCAAUGUUUUUUCUUCGAACCCAGGUGCGCCCACAUCCUACCCCAUUUCCGUCAAACAAAUAAAGAAGGAGACAUGAAGGAGACACCACUUUCGGGACAGCAGCCCCGGAGCCAUAGUCAGUACUACUAUGUUGAUAACCAAACACCUCAUUUCUCCUACCACUACCCAUGCCAUGGCAAAUCUGCAAACUCGAAGUCGAAGCCCUUCAUCGAUCCCAUCGCAACCUACUCCCAAAAAAAAAUUGCAUAUCUGCUGCUGUGCGCAGCAGAACAGAUCACCCAACAACACAAACAGAGGAUGAACCAAUGGGUUUCCCGGCGAGGGGAGUGGCGGCUGCCACUCCUCGCCCUCACGUGGCUUCGCCCCUGUGUGGGGUCUUGGCCUUUCAUUUUAAGCUAAGUUAGGUUCGGGCAUUGUUAGCAUGUGGUACAUUACAUUUUCAUGGAAGCAUAAUCACACGAAGAGGAAAAAGGAAAUUAAAAGCUCCUCCAAUCAUCCAAUGGCUUAUGAGUUACAGCACAGUCACGAUUCACUUGUCGCUCUGUUCUAGCAAAUCAAUUCUUUAUACAAGUCACCUUGUUAUUUAAUUUAGUUUUUAAUCAAAACAGUCACUUUUAUUUUUUUAAAGGGUAAAAGACUGUUUACUACCUUCAAGUUUCAUGGUUUUCAACAUUUGGUACAUCAAGUUUUUUUCGUCCCAGAGUCAUACCUAAAGUGUUAAUUUUGGGACAGUCUCAUACAUCCGUUAGUCAAACUGUUAAGUCUGCCGUUAACUGAUGACGUGGCGCCAUGUGGACAAUGAUUGGGCGCCACGUGUCAUUAAAAAAAUUAAAAAUAUUAAACUAUUAAAAUAAUUAUUUAAAAAAGUAUUUAAAAAAAAAAAAACCGCACGUCUACAACCUCACCUCCCCUCCUCUCUGCACCGCCAAAUCACAGAAAAAAAGGGCCACCCUUCUUCUUUAUCCUGAGCUCUCAAAUGGUCUACAACCAAACCAUCAAAACCCCAAUUGAAGUCUGACUUCUAGUUCUCCAAUUUCUAAACUUUCUAAUUAUUUAUGUAGUUGAAUUUGAUUUGACUUUUAGGGUUUAAUUCAUGUCUUGUAAUUGGGUUCUAUUUUGAUUAGGGGAAGAUUGCAGCUUUCGUUUAAUUUUUGGAAGAAGACGACGAUGGUAGGGAUCGGGGAGUCGAAGAGGGAGGAGGUGGGUAGCAGGAUGAGCACGGCGAACGUGGCGACUCAUACACCAGUGCAAAUAGGUAGAUUUUCCAUUCAAAUCCAAACUAAAAACAUAAAAAUUGAAGUAUUUCCUUACCUAGAUCUACCCAACGACCAGCCCACCAACCAACCAAUUUACAAAAUCCCCAAUCUGAAACCCUAACAACCUAACCCCCGAACCCGUACAAAGUCCUACCUUGCCUCUUGAGUGCAUAGACGAUGUCCAUCGUCGUCACAGUCUUCCUCUUGGCGCUCAGUGUAAGUCACGGCGACGAGGUCUCCGGCGAAGGGAGAAAAGUGCUCGGACGAAGGUGGGGAUGGGUCUUCCUUUUCUCCAUGUUUGUGGGGUUAAGAAUGGAAUUUAUGAAAGAAAAUUGGAGAUGAGAUUGGGGUGGGGACGACAGAGAAGGGGAUGGGAGUGGAUCCACGAGGGAGGGGAUUGGUUGGAAAGCUGGUCGGAGGAGGGGGAAGGAUAGAUGUGCAGACGUUGGGGUAGGUGCAGUGGAGAGAAGGGAGGGGGUCGGGGUGGGGAAGACAAAUGGGUUCUGGGUUUUUUGUUUUGUUUUUCUUGUUUUUAAUAUUUUUUUUAAUUAAUUAUUUUAAUAGUUUAAUAUUUUUUAAUUUUUUUAAUGACACGUGGCGCCCAGUCAUUGUCCACAUGGGCGCCACGUUAUCAAUUAAUGGCAGACUUAACAGUUUGACUAACAGAUGUAUGAGAAAUUAACACUUUAGGUAUGACUCUGGGACGAAAAAAACUUGAUGUACCAAAUGUUGAAAACCACGAAACUUAAGGGUAGUAAACAGUCUUUUACCCUUUUUUAAAUUUACAACAAAUUCAUAUGAUUAUUGAAAAUUAUUUUGUAAAGUACUACGGAGUUAUAAUUAUUUAAACUUUCAUCUCACUCUAUCAAAUUAGCCAAAGUACUAAAGAUAAAUAAAUUUACUUACACUCGCCUAGGCUGUGCCUAGGCCCUAGUCUGUCACUCGAUAAGUGCCUAGCAUCUUUUAGAACCAUAAGAAAUAGUGUGUUUUUAUUCAAUUUCAUAAAUAGUAUAUCAUUUUGCAACAGUUCCAGCAAUAGUGUGCAUUAUUUUUUGUUCAAAUAUAGAAUUAGUGUGAGUUAUUUUGUAUUAGUUCCAGAAAUAGUGUUUAUUUUGUUAUUUUUCAUAAAUAGUGUGAGUUAUGUUAUUUUUCAUAAAUAGUGUGAGUUAUUUUACUUUCAAAAAUAGUACAAGUUAUUAUGCUGUAGUUCAAUAAAUAGUGUGGGUUAUUUUAGUUCACUUUCAAAAAUAGUGUAGGUUAUAAUGUUGUUUAAGAAAUAGUGAGGGUUAGUUUGGUUCACUUUCAGAAACAGCGUGAGUUAUUUUUGUUGUAGUUCAAGAAAUAGUGGUUCACUGUUAGAAAUAGUUCAAAAAUAAUGUUUAUUUUGCUCCCUUGCAUAAAUAGUAUGAGUUAUUUUGGUUCGGUUUCGUAAAUAGUGUGAGUUUUUCGUUGUAAUUCCAGAAAUAGUAUGAAUUAUUAUGGCUCACUUUCAUAAAUAGUGUUAAUUAUUUUGGUGUAAUUCCAAAAAUAAUAUGUAUUAUUUUGGUUUACUUUCAGAAAUAAUAUUAGUUAUUUUACUGUAAUUUCAAAAAUAAUGUUUAUUUUGUUACCUUCCAAAUACAGUGUGGAUUAUUUUGGUUCAUUUCAUAAAUAGCGUGGGUUUUUACUUGCGGUAGUUCCACAAAUAGUUGUUGUAGUUCAUAAAAUAGUGUCUUAACCAUUUUCAUUGUUGCAGAUGGGAAACGAAAAAUGUUAGGGUGAAGAGUUCCAUAAACAUGCGUGUUGAACUUCAGCUUGAACAAACUAUCAGAAGGUUUACUAGCUUGCUGAAAAUACAAGGAAUAAGAGGGGGGGGAGUCAACCGGUACUACUACAUAAAUCCUACACAUAGACCAUUUCCAGUCUAAUCUAGCAUAACCAAAUUUAAUAAUAAGAUCGUUUUCCAAAAAAAAAAAAAAAAAAAAAAAAAAAAAAAAUUAAUAAUAAGAUCCAAUCACAUUUCCCCAGAAUAAAAGAGUUUGAUUAGUAGACUUUAAUAAAUAAAAGAGUACUCUAAUCGAAUACCAUUCAAGGUUAUUGGUUAUAAGGCAUAAGUCAGCAUAUACUUUCAAUAGAAGACUUGAAAAACAAGUUUCAUUAGACAACUUAGAGCUUCCAUACAAGAAUCCGAUUAUAUGAAUGAAAUCUGGUAAAUCAUUCAAUUCAUAUGUGACAAAUUGAACUUCAUUGUCAAUUCAGCUCUGUGUGAAUGACUACCUACUCAUGAAAGCAUAGUGUACAUAGCCCUCCUAACUGAUUAAAGGAAAUAUCGACCACAAUAUUUUGCACAAGGCACUUUACAAGCUUGACCUACCACAAGAAGACCAAAUAGUAUUUACAUAGGAAAAUCAAAAGUUUUGUUAUCUACUAUAACUAGAAUCAAAAUAAUGGCUAAUGAAAUAGACACGCACGUAGCAAUUUCAUUCAAGGGAAAUGCAAGUUACACAACAUAAACUCAACACAAAAAUUUUACUAGACAUAGAUGGCAGCAUCAACAUUAAGCUGUAACUUAUACCUAUAUUCAAUCUAAUAAAGUGAAGAGGUAAAAGCUAAAAACCUCUGCCCAAAUCAACUGGACAUCUUUCACCAUAAACUCAGCAGCCAUAUUUUGAUAUUCUCUUUCAAGGACAGCACAGACGUCACCACCCAAUAUCUCCAUCCGGCAGAUAGGUCUUUACUCUUUAGAGGUAAGGUAAUUAAAUGAAUAUUGUCAUUUAUCAAUGAGGAUAUCCGGGGUAAAGUAGGAGUAGCCGAAAUUGAAGGAAAGAUGAGAGAAAAUCGGUUACGGUGGUUUGGACAUGUGCAAAGAAGGCCUACUGACGUUCCGAUUAGAAGAUGCGACUAUGGGACAGAGGUUCAGGGCCGAAGGGGUAGAGGAAGACCUAGGAAAACUUUGGAAGAGACUCUAAGAAAAGACUUAGAGUACUUGGAUCUAACGAAGGACAUGACACAGGAUCGAGCACAAUGGCGUUCUAAGAUUCAUAUAGCCGAUCCCACUCAGUGACUUGGAUUUUCCAAGUCUUCAACCAAGAAGUUUUCCUCACUCAGGAAAUUAAGGGAACACUACCCCAACCUACAUGCUCCACUCAGAAAGCUUCAACAUACAAGCUUCAACAAAAGAAAAUUCAAAGAACUUAGCGAAGAAGGCUUUGGUGUAUUUAACACAAAUACGUUGAAAUGAAGGAAAGCUUAUUUAUUGAUAUCCCCGAUAAGCUACAAAUAUGUACAUAUACAUGAGUCAAAAUAAGCACACAAGAGGGAGACUUCACAAAGGUUGCUUAGGAGAAGUCUCAGCAGUCGGUAGAGCCCCAGAAAGAGAAGGCACCGGAGGGGGAUCAUUUGGAGCCUCAGUACUGGACAGAACCCUAGAAGGAGGAGGCAUCAGAGGUUGAUCAUUUGGAGCUUCAUUACGCGGUACAGCCCCAAAAGACGAAGGCAAUAAAUGCCUUUGGAACAAACCCACAAAUCUCUGAUGAUCAAGUAAAACCUGACCAUCAGUUUCCUUCAUCUGGUCAAGCUUCCUCUUCAUGUUUGUAGCAUAGUCAUGUGGCGAGCCGGUGCAACUGUUUAUUCUCAUGCUUGAGCCCUCUAAUCUCCUGUUUGAGACUCAUCACUUCAGCCGCCAAUGAUUCAACUUGGCGGGUUCGAGCAAAUAGGCGUUGGGCCAUAUUAGACACAGAACCUGCACACUGAACACUGAGAGCCAGCGAAUCCUUAACAGCUAACUCAUCAGACCGUUUGGAAAGUAGUUUGUUAUCUUUGGGAGUGAGAAGGUUCCUGGCCACCACCGCAGCGGUCAUAUCAUUCUUCAUCACGGAAUCCCCAACGGUAAGAGGACCAGUAGGGGAGACGAAAGAUGGGCGCCAUAUGUUGUCUGGAGAAGGCGGGGCUGCCUCUUCAACAAGGUUCAAGUCAAAACGACGGUCGGAGGGGCCAGACAUUUUCAAAGGUGUUGAAGAGAGAAGAGGUCGGACAAAUCAAGAUCUUAGAAGUGCAAGAAUGAAGCUUCUACUGGUGGAGAUCCAAGUGUGCUUUGGAACUUAAUGCCAGCCCCUAUAAAAAUCUGCACUCGACGGAGCUUCAAAAAUCGAAGAGGCGCCUGCUCAGAAAUCGAAGAGGCGUUUGCUUUCUCAAAAGCUGGGCUGCUUAGAGAUCACGAGGGUUGAUCUCAGAAAUCGAAGAGGCAUUUGCUUUCUCAAAAGUUGGGCUGCUCAAAGACCACGAAGGCUGAUCUCAGAAAUCGAAGAGGCGCUCGGCCUCAAAGCUUGAGACCACGCACGAAGAGAGGCCAUCAGAUCAUUCAGCAACCUGCACUGUUUGCGGAACAGGCAUUUGUAAAGACCAGCCUUACACAACAAAAAGUUUAAAAAAUUUCUUGAACACAGCUGAACGCUCUUCUAAAAAGAAGCAAAACUUUGAGGCUUCCCCCAAGGGGAAAGAAAAGAACCACUGAAAAACCAGUUCUGGCCAACCAUUCCCAAGAAUUGAAAAAACGAAGAAGUCCCAUUCACAAAACUUUCACAUGAAAGAGUAAAAGCAAAAAAUGGGUAGACCCCACAAGGACAUACUCAGUCCCAUGCGGGAAUUAUGGAUAAUUGGCAAAAAGUUCCAUGGUGAAGUAGAAAGGCUUUUAAUUUAUUUUGCUUCCCACUACCACUUUAGGUCUGUGGUUUGGAAAGUGCACAAAGCAAAACGGGUACUCAGAAAACACACGCACCGUCAUUUCUUCCAACAAUGUUGAAAUAGACCCAGAGCCGAAAGACAAUCAAGAACUCUUAAAGCAAGACCCAACCCACUGGGUAGAACAGUGUCAACCACUUAAUUCGCAAGAAACAAAGUAUCCCCAUGCCAGACUUGUGCUUUGUGGCAAAAAACAUAAACAAGAGCGUCCAUCAAAAAGCGAGAAAAAAGGUACUCCCAGUAAGAUUGGGUCUUGAGAGACCAGAAUCGAGACACGUCCCGAGUUUGCCUCAAAAACCUGAAGAACUCUGGACACCUACUUUUCUAGAAACACGCAGUCAUACCACAACCUUUGUCAAAGAGCCAACACUGUACUCAAACUCGCUCUGAAAAGAAGGCAAAGUCAGCUUCUCCGAAGACUUUCUGAGCAGUACCACUGUGGGGAUUAAUUGGAAGUCCACAGAAUCUAGCAAACAUCUCCAUUUCAAUCACAUUCGAGAAAAACACUCCGCCACUCACAAUUUGAGAACUACCCUUAAAGAGAGGGGUAAAGGAACAGUACCUUGCUGGAUAAUUGGAAAGUCCCUGUGUGUCAACCUCUGUGCUUCGUGGCAAGGUAGACUAGCAAACAUGCCCAACCUUUACUCACAUUCGAGAAAACACUUUGCUUGCUCCAAAAUCGAAGAGGCACCGCCCUCCCGAAUCUCGAGAGCCAGACUCCCAACAUGAUUACUUUCUCAAAAAUCGAAGAGACACUGCUCCACGAAUCUCGAGAGCCAGACCCCCAGCAUGAUUGCUUUCUCAAAAAUUGAUGAGGCAUCGUUCUCCGAAUCAAUCGAAGAGGCGCUCGCUUUCUCAAAAGCUGGGCUGCUCAGAGACCACGAGGGCCGAUCUCAGAAAUCGAAGAGGCACCUACUUUUCUAGCCUUGUCAGCACCUGUCACACGCACACUCAGCUUUGCAGAAAUUAUGGGCAUUCUGUCGAAGACUUCUGGUGAAGUAGAAAGCACAUGAAUCUUACUAUUCAAUCACCCACUUCCCACACGUAACAAUAGCUCAUGGGUACCACAAAUAACUUUGCCAAAGUUCUCUGCCAAAGUUGAGCACGUGAAGCUUACAGCUCCCACUACAUCGCUCUGACCAAGAAAGGUAAAAGAAUAGCAAAGAAACAGCACUAACAAAAGUUUAGACACACAUAAAUUUUGAAGGUCUAGCUACCAUAUUAUUACCCACAAGGGUAAAGGAACAGUACCACUGCUGGAUAAUUGGAAAGUCCCUGUGUGUCAACCUCUGUGCUUCGUGGCAAGGUAGACUAGCAAGCAUGCCCAACCUUUACUCACAUUCGAGAAAACACUCCCAAUAAGAUUGCUUGCUCCAAAAUCGAAGAGGCACCGUCCUCCGAAUCUCGAGAGCCAGACUCCCCCAACAUGACUACUUUCUCAAAAUCGAAGAGAGGGUAAAGGAACAGUACCAUUGCUGGAUAAUUGGAAAGUCCCCUGUGUGUCAACCUUUGUGCUUCGUGGCAAGGUAAACUAGCAAACAUGCCCAACCUUUACUCACAUUCGAGACAACACUCCCAACAAGAUUGCUUGCUCCAAAAUCGAAGAGGCACCCGCCUUCCGAAUCUCGAGAGCCAGACUCCCAACAUGAUUACUUCCUCAAAAAUCGAAGAGACACUGCUCUCCGAAUCUCGAGAGUCAUACCCCCAGCAUGAUUGCUUUCUCAAAAAUCGAAGAGGCAUCGUUCUCCGAAUCUCGAGAGCCAGAUACACACAGACCACUUUUUCAAAGUGCUCUGACAGAGUUAAAACAUGUGAAACUGGCAGCUCCCACUACCGUGCUAUGACCAAGCAGGGUAAAGGAAUAGCAUUACUACUUGUUGUUAGGGAGACUCCUAUAUAUGUCGACCUCCAUCCCCAACGGACAGGCAGACCUGCAAAAAUGCUCAACCCUUCAUCAUCAUAUCUGAGAGGGCACUCCCAACGAAGCCUUUCGAAAUAUUCAGCUUUCUUUCCCCCCGAUAAUACCUCUGCAAACAAGCUAUACUAGAGCAAGAAUAUCUCAUAUCAUCAGGGUUAAAAAGCAAGAGUAUCCCAUAUCAUGCUUUUUCCCUGUCUUUUUCUUUUGGCCUUGUUUUACCUGCAAGACAAGGAGAAAGAGAGCAAUCAGUCAGCACUUGGAAUCAAGCUUCCAGCCAGGAACUGACUGCCUGGAACCCCUUACCUGAUUACUUACCUGACAUUGCUCUCGAGUACUCAUCUUCAACAUCUUAUGUUUCCAGGGAAGAGUCCGCAUCUGCUUGAGGAACAGAUAGGGCAAGUGCGAAGGAUACAAGGAAGCAUGUGGAGACAAGCGUAACAGCACACGUGCCGAUACAUUCAUUACUCUGUCAAAAGCAAAAGUAUCCCAUAUCAGCAGGGUGGAACGUACUCUAGAUUUGAUGGACUUGUUUUGACCAUCAAAUUCUUCAGUCGGCCUUAUACUCUGGAGGAAACCAGAAAACCCUCCAGCUCAGUUCAAGAAUAAGCCUGUGGAAAGUUACUUCUUCAAAAGCAAAAGUAUCUCAUAUCAUCUAUUCUCAUUUUUCUUCUCUUUAUCCUUCAUGCUGCUGCAAGAUGGGGAGAAGGUGAACAAUCAGUCGGAGCUCUGAUUGCUUACCUUGUCUGUCACCUCUUUCAGCAGACCCCCUAGCUCGGCGACUUGGGGGACUCCUACUACAUGGUUUGUAUCGCGCUUGACCAAGCCUGAAACUACAAGUAAGCUUCAAGUGAAAUUGAUACAUUACCUUGUGCAUCUCCACCAAUUAAAGAUACCACCCUUGGAUGGAGGAAGAGUACUUCCAGAGAAGAUGCCACAUCUACCUAUGAGACAGAUAAGGCAAGUCAAGACGACACCACACUCCGAUACUUAGAAGUUUCGUGAUUACGAGAUCAUUCUCCCACAAUAUUUCCUAAUGUCAUUUGUACUAAAUCAUUCACUUGUACUCACUAAAUGAGAGCUUGAACCUAUGUACUUGUGUAAACCCUUCACAAUUAAUGAGAACUCUUCUAUUCCGUGGACGUAGCCAAUCUGGGUGAACCACGUACAUCUUGUGUUUGCUUUCCUAUCUCUAUCCAUUUACAUACUUAUCCACACUAAUGACCGGAGCAAUCUAGCGAAGAUCACAAAAAGCGAUCGUUUUCGCUACCUAGGAUCUAUCUUGCAAGAGAACGGAGAAUUAGAUGGAGAUCUCAACCAUAGAAUACGAGCUGGAUGGAAAGAGUGCAUCCGGCGUGUUGUGUGACCGUCGUAGGCCACUGAAGCUCAAGGGAAAAUUUUAUAGGACGGCAAUAAGGCCAACGAUGUUGUAUGGCACAGAAUGUUGGGUGGUGAAGCAUCAACACGUACACAAAAUGGGUGUAGCGGAGAUGAGGAUGCUUCGUGGGAUGUGUGGGCACACGAGAAAGGAUAAGAUUGGGAAUGAGGAUAUCCGAGGUAAAGUAGGAGUAGCCGAAAUUGUAGGAAAGAUGAGGGAAAAUCGGCUCCGGUGAUUUUGGACAUGUGCAAAGAAGGCCGACUGACGCUCCGGUUCGAAGAUGUGACUACGGGACAGAGGUUCAGGGCCGAAGGGGUAGAGGAAGACCUAGGACAACUUUGGAAGAGACUCUAAGAAAAGACUUAGAGUACUUGGAUCUAACGGAGGACAUGACACAAAACCGAGCGCAAUGGCGUUCUAGGAUUCAUAUAGCCGACCCCACUUAGUGGGAAAAGGCUUUGUUGUUGUUGUUGUUGUUGUUGUUGUUGAAAGGUCAAUAGAAACUGAUAAAUCGCAGCAAGGAAAGUUUCAGCUCCAGAAAACAAAUUAACCUAAACUAACAAUUUAUAUGCAGAAUUCAAGCUCACCAAAAUAAAUUUCCAUGCCCAAUUCACAAACUAUACACACAAAUAUAUCAGAAAUUGGUUGUUUUGUAGCUCAAUAUGCACAUCAAUUUGAAUAAAAAAAAGUCGAAGACAAAGAUUUAUACCUCUGUUUUCUGAUAUUUGUGCUCGGACCCAUGUCGAUAUAAGAUGAAACAAAGAAAAGAGCUGCACAGAGAGAAACAACAUACAGAGUAACAACUUCAAACUGAACGAUCGAGACGGAGAAUUUCAGAUCGGAGUUGUAGUCCUAGUCAGAAGAUCCAUUAUCAUUGGUCCCUUAAUUCUUCAAAACGUGCAGCUAUGGUCCUUUUCGUUAACUCCGUCAAAAUGAGUUAUGUUGGAAUGACCAUUGCUACAAUUGAUAUAAAGAUGAAGGACCAUUGCUCUAAUUGAGUUAAAGUUGAGGGACCAUUUCUUUAGUUGGGUUAAGUUGAGAAAUCAUUGCUACAAUUUUUCUCAUUUGGUUUUCCAUAAUUGCCCCUGAUUCAGCCUCAUGGCACAUGACUCAUUUUGACGGAAGUUCUAACGGAGUUGAAGAAAAUGACCAUAGCCGCACGUUUUGAGAAGUUAAGGGAUCAAUGGUCUUAGAUUUUUAGUUUAGGGACCAUUACUCCAAUUGAGUUAAAGUUGAUAGACCAUUGCUACAAUUUCCUCUUAUUUAGACAUAAAUCAAUUAAUAGCAUCUUACAUUAGACGUCUGAAUUGGUCAGACUCAUUGUGUAAGGACUUACAUGCGCCCCUUCAGAUGCCACAUUGCCGUUCCAAACCAAUAACACAAUGUCAUGUAUAAGUGACAUUGUUACUUUGAGUUUGAUCUAUGUAAUUGGUGAAUUUUUUUGGGUCCAAACUAUGCUACCAAAAGAGAAUGACAGAGAAUUAGGAAUAGAAGCUCCUACAGUCAUUUGUGUAAUGGGGUAAAAAUUUCAAGAUUCACUUACGAAAGCUCGAAUCACCAUAUUUUGAUCCUCAGCUGGUCGCACUUUUUCAAGGGGUUUGCUUCUGAAAAACCUAAGCAGGUUCAUAAAGGCCUAACAUAUGCCCAUCAAAUACAUCGCAUGGCAGCAACCAGUAACACGAAACUCUUACUAAAAUCUCUGCACCCAGUGUAGCAAUGAUAUACGAACAAAUGAUCACAACGGUUUUGUUUAGAAAUUUAGUCAUCACCUUGCCAUGGACUUCAUAUUUGAUAGGGCCAUCAAGUUUCAGCUCCUUAUGCCAUCAACUUGGUCACUGUUUGAUUAAUGUCUGGCACUGUGAAGGACAAAAGUGAAGAGUUUCCAUUCUACAAUGCAUGAUCCCUGUCAAAAUUAGUCAUUAGCAGAUGCCAAUUUCAUUCAAAACAUAAAGCUUAAAUCCAAUUACUGCUCAAAUAACACCACAUUACCAAAAAAUACCAAGAAUUAUAACAUCGAAAAAACCCAAGAAAUUCUAAGUUUUACUCUUUCAAUCGACACAAACUUCACUUGGGUCUCUUUCAAUUAUACUGUUUUUACGAAAAACACGAGAAAACAGUACAAUUUGUGGGAAAGGAUGUGUAAAAAACUGGUUUAUACAAAUCAUCAAACACCUGGUGUGCACCGAGCACAGAGUCUCAGAGAAUGGAGAGGGAGAGUUCACUUGGGGUAUUGCAUAAGGUAAAGCUUGAAUGGGCUGGACUGUAGAUCCGUCUAUCGAAGAGUGCAGACAUUGACGGUGAAGUCCAACCCUUCGGCGUAGAACCAGGCGGCUUUUGGCACGUCCUUGUGCAGCUGCAGUAGCCACCUAAACAACGCCUCUGGCAUUUUUCCCUCGCUUUCUAAGUUACGUGCUGCUGACUGAAGGAUACUGACUCAUCGGUUGUCGUUUCAAGUGUGAGUCGUGACUCAUAUAAGACGACACGUCGUUUUGAAAGUUUCAAAGUUAAAUUGGAGAUUAGCAUAUGAUGACUGCGUGCCCAGAUAGUAGUCGCCUACCUCUUGUGUAAAAGUCUCACCUCUAAACUAUGGUGAUAAUCCUUGUUAAACUAUGGUGAUAAUCCUUGUUAUACAAAGAAUUUUUAUUCUAACGUUAAUGUUCGAAUUUUAUUUGAGGUCACUCAAUCGACUUGUUACAUAUUAUGAUGAAAGUUGUGCCUUUGCUUCACUCGACUCCUAAUUUCAUCAUUUUUUUCCUUUUUCAAUUUUGACAUAAUCCUAGACAUGAGGGCUUCUUUUAGGGUAUUAAGAGAUUCUACAAGCUUGGGGAUAUAUUUGAACUCUCAAGGGAAAUUUGGAAAGAUAGUCUAAAUUUGGAUCAUGUAUAGAAUUUAACCAAUUAUUAUAAGAGUGCUACUAGACCCACCCCAGUGUCCUAUUUUCCCACCCACAUGAUAAUCUCACCCACCAUAAAAAAUUAAAAAAGUAAAAUGUUAUUUCCCCACCCACCAUUAUUCCCAAAAUAACCAUAAUAUUUUUUUUAAAUAACUCUAAUAUAUCUUUAAAUAAUAUUAUAAUUAAAUAAAUAAAAAUAGAAAAAAAUGAAAGAAAAUGCAAGACCUAAGACCUAGACAUUUAUCAUAUCAUUCACACCUAUCGCCGCCCUACAGAGACCCCGGACCCCCAAACCACUCUUCUUCCUCAUUUUUUGUCAAAACCGCAGAUCUCACACUCAAUUCUCUUUUUUCUCCAUUGAAGUUUAUCGCCUUCGUCCAGUAUACGCUCAUUCCUUCCACCAACCUUUCCGUCGAUUCUAACCCUUUCCAAACCUCUUUUCCCCAAAGAUAUCACACCCCACCCACCAUUAUUUAUUUAUUAUUUUAAAUUAUUUUUUGUCUUUUCAAAAUUUUAGUAUUGAAUGAAAUAGAGGUUUAAGAGUCUUCUUUUAAAAGGAUAAAUAUGUUAUUAACAUUUUCAUUAAAUGGUGGGUGAGGAAAUAAGACACCGGGGUGGAAAUAUCACCACUCUUAUUAUAAUUUUCUGAAGUUUUAAUCAAAACAUGACAUGAAAAUACCACAAUGCCCCUUAUAUAUAUCAUUCUAUUGUUAAUUACACUCUGGCUUGCUUUCUUUCAAAGUCCAACAAGAAUUCACAUGUAGAGCUGCUUUAGAUCUCUGUGUGGAUGGUCAAUAAUUGAAGGGAAUCCGAGGGAAGUGGUAAGUCAUUUCCAAUCAAUGAUAGUAAUUGUACGGUAUUGUCCCUAUCCCAGCAAAUAUAGCUUUUCUAGUCAAGCGGGUCAUGAUUUAAGUCCAAUAGGUAAACUUCUGAUAAUACAACUAUAUCACUGUGAUUGCUUUCUCUCAUUAUCCGAAAAUCACAUGCUCCACCACUUGUGUGGACUUCGUCAAUUUUGUUGAGUUUCAUUAUUCUCACAAAGAAGAUUCAAACAGAAUCUUCAUUCUUUGCAAAUGUACUUUUUAAGCGAGCUACUUAACGCGUUAUUAAAUUUAAGAGUAAUAUUAAGAAGACUAAAUUUAUAGAUUAAAUGUAAACUAAAUGAUAUGUAAGUUGAUGAUUGAAAUAUUAUUUAAACGUUAAUAAACAUCCUUAUUUUUAUUAGUAACACAUUAUUUAGUUUAUAAUUUUAGUUUAACGUUAUUCUAAAUUUAAACUCAAAGUUUUUCUUCGAUUAAAAAAAUCCAUUGCUAAUAGAAGUGCAGAUUUCGGUUGGAGGAGUAAAAGUACGUGGGAACACAAGGAAGUUAUUGAUUAGGUAAAAGUUGCCGAACCCCAUAUAACGCGUUGCAUUUUCCAACUUUAAGUUUUUGGCAUCAAAGCAAUAGUCACUGAAACAUCCCAUGUGAAAAAAGUUGAGGGAUAUCUCAGAACUAGUACUCUUGUAGCAAAGCAAAACUAGUUCAUCCCCACAAUCCAAACUAUUUCUUCCUUUCUAUUUCUUUUCUGAUUUGCUGACUUCUUUCUUAAGGGUUUUGCUAUCCCUCACAUCUUUUUACUUUUCACAAACUACUCUUAAUUUUUAUUAUUGAAUCAAAUGAAUUAAAUAUAAUAAAAUUACAUAAAUUAACAAAGAGGUGUAUGAAAAAUAAAAUAAUAUGUGUCGAUAGUGCCACUCUUUUAAAAAACAAUAAUCAUAUAUGAACUAGGUUUACUAGGGAUUCGGAUUUCCCCCAUCCUCUUUCCAUCUCAUUCCAUUCUAUUCUCUCACAUUCUUUAUUUUAUCUUUCUCUUUCUAUAAAAAAUUAAUAUAAGAUGUCAAGGCUUAACCGUGACCAUUUAAAUAGAAGGGGAGGGAAUGUGAGAAAAAAAGAGGGGAGAGAAUCCUAUAGAACCCCAAAAAGAAGCCUAACGGUUGAAUUAUGUUUCCCUCAAAGACUUAAUUGCUUAGCUAAAUCAUAAAGACCAAACCACACUACAGUCAUGGAUCACAACAGAUUUUUCAGUGUAACCGUCACACGAGACGGGACACCACAUGUCCCUAUAUAAAUGGUGGGAUAUAUGUGUUAAAAGGUUAAUAAUUUAAAAAUUAAAAUUUUCCACCACUUACAUAAAAAUAUGCCGUGUACCAUCAAUGUUCCCGUCACAACAAAAAAAUUCUCAUGGAUCACAUUUUCCCUCCCUCGUGGCUCGAUUUCAAGGGUGUGGUUGAUCCUAGAGAACACAACAGAGUCACUGGCGACAAUGAGGAGGUAGGCUGGAUCGAUGUGGGAUAUUUUGUUUUUGCAAGGAGUGGUACGUUCUUGAGAAAAAAAGGGUAAAGUUGAAAUUGUUGGGGAAAAUUUUGAUGGUGGGGUGAUUUAACAAAUUAUGGGGUGUGAACAGAAUUUUAAUAUAAUAUAAAGAGAAAUUUUAUUUGAACUCAUAUAAUAUUACUUUACACUCAACUUAAAUCUUAAAUGUAAAUUAUUUUUUUACCUUAUUGCAUAAUUAUCAUCAGUACAAGAUAAACUCAUAAUACAAUUAAAAUUUAUCAAUAAAUACAAAAUCCAUUAAACAAACCCUUAGCAUCACACAAUCUUUAAUUAAUGCUCUAUUAUGGCUAAAGCCCUAAGACGAUCUCAUAGAGAAAAACAAGUUUUACGACCGAUAGAUGGUGAUUUUAAAAUUUUGGACCUUCCAAGUAAGAUAUGAAUUGAUUUAUGCAAAAAUAAAUUUUUUUUUUAAGGUUUUGGAGUGUAUUUGUGGAUGCAAAUUUCUUCCUCCUUGUUCUUGGACAAAAUUGCACCUACAAAACAAAUAACACCUUAGGUCAAGGCCAAGAGCCUCACGCUCCCAUGAUGAAUAGGGGGCUUUGGCCGAAAAACCUCUGAUGUGAAAGUUAGAAUUUUGAGGGAAAAGUGUUUGGAGAAUUUAGAGAAUUUAGCAAGAGCAUUGGAAUUGAGUUUUGGAGAGAAUGAUGAGGUUUUUAUAGGGGUGUGGCCGGCCCCUUUGGGAUAGAAAGGAUCGGCCACUUGGUUCAUUUUGUGGGCUAGGUUCUUGAUUUGUGUUUAAUUAGGAAUAAUUGAAUAAUAAAUCAAUUAAUUAGCUAAUUAAUAGAAUAAUUUCCUAAUUAAUUAUCUAAUUAAUAUAAUAAAAGGGGAAUGAUUUGGGAGUUACCUUGUGGAGAGGAUUAUGAGGAUGGAUGAAAUAGGUUUUGAAUUAUUACCUAGUUUGGGCAUUUUUGACUUGGUUGAAGGUUGAUUGCCCAUUGCUCGCGAGUAGGAAUCUUGGUAUGCCUUGAGGAUAAUUUUGUCAUUUUAACCCAAAAAUCCACGUUUCGCCUUAUGAUUAUUUUUUGCUCCACAAAUGCCCCCACACUUGCUGUGCUGCUCGCAGGAAAGUGCAACAGGUGUAGAGAUCUCAAACUUUGAUGUAGAUUCCCUUUUGGACUUGGAAUUAGAUUCUUCUAGGAAAGGGAAAUAAAUCGCCUCUAAAGCCUAUUUAAGCCUACCUUAAAUAGGAGAUUAAAUCAACUUCGGAGGGCAAUUAUUUAUCCCUACAAGAAAGAGAGAAAGCUAGAGGAUAUUUGUUCCCCCUCCCGUAGCACUCUUCUUUGCUUGCCUGUGCAAAGAACCGUCUUCCGUUGAUUUAUUUGUCAUCUUCACACUGCACGAUGUAAGAAAAACUUAAUUCUCCUUGUCUUCUUCUUGGGAGGUGCUGCCACAGGGUAGCCAUCGGGGUGGUGCGGCAUGUUAGCUGGCAAAGGCCAGGAGUCGGCUUGGCAUGGGCUAAGAAGGUGGUGUGGUAGGGGCCAUUGCUUGUGCUAUUUGGCAUGAUUAAAGCCAAGGAUUGGCUCGGCAUGGGCUGAGUGUCACAGCCCAUCCCGACAUAUUUAGUUUCAAUGGUGUGAAAUGUCUAAAUUGCCCUUGAACAUUGAGUUUGUUAUGUGGUGUUGUGGUUUAAGUUGGGUUUAAACUAAUUUUGUUAGUUCCUAAGUUUUUGGAACUUAAAGUUAGUAAAUUUUUUUGUGGUGAUUAAUGAACCAAAAUUGGACCACACACUCACACACACACACACACACACACACCUCCCGUUGACCUUCUUUCUCCUCCCUCUCGGAUCUUCUUCCAUUUCUAUACAACUUGUACGGACAACCUUCAAACCUUCACUUCUAGUCGCAGAUCGAAGCUGGGGAAGUGAUCUUUGUGUUCCUUGCAAGUCCAGGAGCUUAUCCAUACCAUUUUUGGUAAGUGAAACCCUCGAAAACCCGAGAAUUCAGAAUCUCAGUUUUGAUGCACUGUUCAUGUGGUCGUAAUUAUGGAUGUUUUAGGUGAUUUGAAGCUUUUAGGAAGUUGUAAAACAUCCCUACGAAGCUCGAAGAAGAAAAACCAAGUAAAUUGGACGUCGGGAAUGUGAGAUUAGCGAGUUUUAAGUUUGGCUUGAUUAUUGUGGAUUUUUCUGGCAAGAUCCUGUGAGUUUUACGUCUUAAAACUGGUAAGGAUUUGUUCUACUUGUCUUAAGCUUCAUUUUGGUAUAUAAUUCGUGAAUUUUAGUUGAAAAAUGAAGAAGUUACAAGGUUGUAAAGUUUUUCCAGUUUCCGGCGAAGGCGACGGUCGCCGGAGUUCGAAGGUAGGGGAUGACGGAAUAUUCUGUCAACUUUGACGGAAUAUUCCUAACAGCGUUGGUUAGUUUUAACGGUUUCUGUUACUUUUUAACGGAAUAUUCCUAACGGGGUUAAGGGAUUCUGUUAGGGUCCCUGCGCGUGGCCCUUGUUGACGUGUGACGGGGCGUGAGGGCUCCAAAAAUUAUUUUAAAAAUUUGGGGAUGUUUAUGGAGUUGUGUAGGUCACGAUGGUAUCUUUAUAUACCUCAAUUGAGCAAUGUAUGAGAAUUUAUUAGCUAGUAUUGGUUAUGUGCUUUAAAUUAAUGUUUUUAUAGUUGUUUCGCAUAUAGAGGAGACUUAUCCCGAGGACGAGCGCAGUCAAGGGCAAUUAGGGGGUUAUAACCCUUCGACAUACCAGUGAGUGGGCUUUUGGUUUUAAGUAUAUAUGUAUAUGCUUGGUAUCUUUCCCAAAAAAUGCAUUUAAAUGAGUUAUGACUUAAAUUGCCAUGCCAAAUGUUUUACAUUUAGAAUAUGCAUAUGAUGUUUGCAUAUAUAUAUAUAUAUAUAUAUAUAAUUGUGGUGUUAUGGACGCUCAGGUAAGUCCCAGGUGAGUUUAUGAAUUGUGAAUGUGAAUAAAGGUUGUGAUUAAUUGAGGAACAUUAAGCUCGUAAACCUGCACCGGUGUUUGUGAGUUAGUUAGAGAUAUGACACAUGCCUGCAUAUAUAUAAUGUCACCUCCGCACCAUAUGCUCACAUCGGAUCCAAUUUAGGUGCACAGUCUUGUUGUACAGACCAUCAUAGUUGGUUCCGACUCGUAGGUGACUAGCGAUUUAUCACACAACUAUCAUGAGAGAGUAGCACUGAGCAUAACUAUAUUACACCCAAUCCUGUUGUACAGACCAUUACAGUGGUUUCGACUCGUGUGCAGUGUAGUGCCGUAUAGGUCAUUUGCAGUGACUUCAGCUAGAUUGACUAAUGAGCUAUGAAUUCAGCCGUAUAGACUUCUGCAGGGGUUUCGGCUAAAUGUUAUUUUCCAUGAAUUUAUUUUCACAUGAGUUACUUAUUCUGUUUAUAUCUUGGCAUGACAUAUUUAUGAUUAUGGUGAUGUGAAGCAUGAUUUGAAUAUAUAUAUAUAUGUAUAUAUAUUUAUAUUUUAUUUAUGGGAAAAAUUAUACAUGUUUUACGGCGAGGGGUUAAAACAUUUGAAAGUUAAAUGUGUUUUCAAAACCUUUGUUUUUGCCCACUCACGUUUUCUGUUUUACGCCAAUCCAGGUUUUAGGUAGACUUACUGUUGGUGGCAUUUGAGGAUUCGACGGUUCUGACAAAAUAUAAUAUCCGUAUGACCUCUUCUGGUACUGUUUAACUAGUACUUGUCCACUGGACUGCACCUAGACUUUCUAUGCUCUGAUUAGGUGUAUUUAUACUUGUAUCUCAUUCCUAGCACUUUCUGCUUAUUAGUGCACAUUAGUAGCUUUCGAUUUUUAUUUAUUCGUAUAUUUCUUAUCUUUAUCGUUUUCGCAUUGUGCACAUGGCUAUGUCACCCUCACGUGAUGGCCAACACGCCUUGACUUUGGUCGGGGUGUGUCACCGAGGAAGUCGCGUGGCAUGGGUAACGGUUUGGGCUACCGCGUCUGAGUUGCUUGCCAAAAAUGAGGAAACUGCUUGAGUUUGAUUUCUCAGCUGCCGUAGAUGGAGCAAUCAAGGAUAAAGCUGCCAAGAUCAGAGUUACUAAAGAUGAAGUGUCGGAUGAGCGAAUUGUUAAGUGUAAAAGUGGCUGCUGCCCCCUGACCAUUUGCUGCCUAGUUGAUCUUUAAGCAUUCGAUCUUUUAAGCUAUGUGGCCUUCUCGUACUUGAGAGCUUACCUAGAUAGGUGUCAAGGAAUUAGUUUACCCUCUCUCAUUGGAGAGCAAUUAGUUUAUCCUUUUACAUUGGAGAGCAAACCCAUAUGGGUGUCUAGGAAUUGGUUUACCCUCUCGCACUGGAAAACAAUUUGUCCUAUCGCAUUGGAAAGCAUACCCAUAUGGGUGUUUGGGAAUUGGUUUACCAUUUCUCACUGGAGAGCAAUUAGUUUAUCCUCUUGCACUGGUAAACAUGCUCAUAUGGGUGUCGGGGAAUUAGUUUACCCUCUCGCACUAGAGAGCAAUUGGUUUAUCCUCUCGCAUUGGAGAGCAGACCCAUAUGGGUGUUGGGGAAUUAGUUUACCCUCUUUCACUGGAGAGCAAUUAGUUUAUCCUCUCGCACUGAAGAGCAGACACAUGUGGGUGUUAGGGAAUUGGUUUACCCUUUCACACUGGAGAGAACUUAGUUUAUCCUCUUGCACUGGAUACGGGUGUCGGGGAAUUGGUUUACCCUCUCACACUGGAGAGCAAUUAGUUUAUCCUCUCGCACUGGAGAGCAGACUCAUGUGGGUGUCAGGGAAUUGGUUUACCCUAUCGCACUAGAGAGCAAUUAGUUUAUCCUCUCGCGCUAGAGAGCAAACCUAUAUAGGUGUUAGGGAAUUAGUUUACCCUCUCGCACUGGAGAGCAUGAAAGUCAUUGUCGUGAGUGCAGUUGAGGAAAGAUAGACUGCUGGACAAUCAAAAUAAUCCUUAGCCUGCGAGGUCAUGUUUGGCUAUCUGCUUGAGACUUCGAACUGCUUGUGGAAUCCGCGUAAGGGUGUAAGCGUAGUGAGCUGCUCCCAGAAUUAUUGUGCCAUCAUUAAGUGUUUAGUCGUGUGCCCUUUUGAGGUUUGGUUAGCGCAAGCCAUAUGGCAAGAUCGGUAUGGCUAGGAGCUAUGGUGCAAGAUUGGCACAGUUAUGAGCCAUGGUGAUAGAUCAAUGGUUGUUAGGAGCCAUGAAGUAGGCAUGCACGGUUGUGUCCUUCUGGUACUCGUCUGCCCCCGGCGUGCCAUUAGGCUGAGUUACUGCGUUUGUUAAAGCAAAAGUAGUCUUUAUAUCCGGUAAUCUAUAUGGGGUAGUCCCAUUUGCUCGAUCUUGUCAUUGAAAGAUGACUCGCUUAUGUUGGUCAUCUCUCAUCAGAGCGUAUUGUCAAUAGCUUCGUUGCAUGGGAAAUCGUGCAAUCGCUCGGUCACGAGUUUUUCUACUUCUUCAUGAAUUUUCUUUUGUUGGGGGUGGCAAAGCUUUCGGCUACCCCCGGUUAUGACCUACUGGUCUAGGCUGCUCUUCAAUGUGUUCAGCUCGUCUAUGCCGUGACUACGGUGGGUAUGGUAUGUUCCUAGCAGGUGAGCAGGUAACUCGCAAGCUGCUGGUUGAACUUGAGUUGGAUUGAGUGACUGAUUCUCUCCGUCCGCUGUAUUGCCUACUUGGAUAUGAGGCGAAUGAUGCUUCUUGUGGGCCUUGCCGUGGAUGAACACUUCGCCUGAAAGGUUGCUCAUGUUGAUUAUUGGAGUGUGGCCCCAACCAUGAGUGUAUGCUUAUCUGUGGGCCUAACUGAGAGUGCACGUUCUUCCACACACUAAGACUGGUCAAGUGGCUGCUUACCAGGAUGCUGGUGGAGAGGUUCGUCUGCCCUUGUCCUUCUUCGAGACACCUCGUCCGGGGCACGUUGGAUCUCGGUGCAUUGCAAAAGUUGAUUCACCAAGGUUAUUUGUUGUGUAAGGGCGCUUGUUAGCUCUAUGACUUGUCGAGACAAGUAUUAUUCGCCAUUUGGAUUGGAAGAGUUUAGAAGGAAUAUGUUUCCUUGAGUAGUGAAAGUGUGGUAGGCUCCAGGCACGAGAUUUGAAUUGGGAAAUGUCAAAUCCGCGGAGAAACGUUUAUAGGAGCAUAUUUAUGCGACUUAGUUAGCUUGUUUUCUUGCAUUUACAUAGUUAGUUUAUGCUUAUUAUAGUGAUUUAAGCUAUUUUCGUGUGUUUGUAGGUCCAAAUGACAAAGUUGGCAAGAAAGUGCAUUUUGGAGCAUUUUAGAGCAGUUUUAGGCUGGAAUGGAUAACUUACAUAUGGAGCACAAGGAAUGGAUGAAUUUGAAGUCAAGAUAGGCUAAGAAUGUGCUGAAAAGAUGAAGAAAAUAAAUCCAAGACAAAGAAGAUAAGGAAUCAGCUAAAAGGAAGGAAUAUUAUCCAAAACCUUAUCCAAUCUUAUCUUAUCCAAAUAUCCUUAUCUUAUCUUAUCCUAACCUUAUCCUAAUAUAUCUUAUUUCCAUCUGCAAGGGGGAAUUAUUUUCAGUUUACGACACCUAAAUGCAUAUUUCUAGAAGCCUUAACAUAAUCCUACAAAUCAGCCGCACCUAGCCUUUCUAGAAGCCAUGUUUCCUGCCACUAAACGUAUUCCUAAUUAUUCCUGGUUUCUGCUAUUUAGUUAACCUUUUUCCUUGGGGAUUUGGAGUGUCAAUCCUUCUCCAAAGCUACCUAGGCCGUGCCUUUUUCUCCCUAUAAAUACAAGUGGUGCCGCACAAUUAAAAACACCACGCCCCACAUAAUUCGACAGCACUAUCUACCAUACAAUUCACUCCAAAACACAGAAAUUUAUCAAGUAACGCAGCAAGGAAGGAAGGGAGAAAGUUAGAGCCGUGACUUGCCAUUCAAUCUUUGGAGUGUUGGAGAGUUUCUGGGUUCUUUCUAUAUUUAGUUUUAGUUCAAUGUUUGUUUUAAUUUGGUUUUAUGUUUUCAAAGACGUGAGGAACUAAUUUCUUUUUAGUUAGAGGUGAAUUCGAAGCCAUGAUUAUAUGUUUUAUAUGAAUUGAUUACAUCCAAUUAUUGUUUCUAGAGUCUUGAAUGUGAUUUGCUUAUCUGAGUUAUUAAAACUUGUUUAUGUAUGUAGACUGAGGGUCGACACUUAAUUUGCAUGCAUGAAUUUGAUGCUAAAGUAUAAGGGAGUUUUACCUAAUCGUUAUGAACUUAUAUUCACAAGUAGUGGAAGUCACUAGUCAUGAUUGUGUUAAGUAAAUUCUUGGCAGGAGUAUCAUGCUUUUCAUAGUUACGAAUGCCUCGUCAAUGCUUAUGGUUUUCAAAGAACUUAAUGACCUUUGAUAUGUCUUUCUAUCAUGCUUUUCAUAGUUAGGGAACUUGAUAAGGAUACUUUGGUUGCGAUGCGUAUUCCAUCCAAUUCAAUGAAUUAAGGAAAAUCUAAUGGUUAAUUUGUGCUAUCGCGGUUAACUUGGGGUGUUGUCAUUCAUGGUUUAAAGAAACAAUACUGGAAAUCAAUUUAUGUGCAUGUGUUUCAUGUGUGGAGAAGGACCCUCUAACUAGCUUUUCACCCUUGAAUUCACCUUAAUUUCAUUUUAACUUACUUGGUUUGCUGCAAUUUACUUAGUUUUGUCAAAUUCGUUCAAAAACCCCCUCAGUUUUUAUUUGGUGUCUUAGUUUAGUUAAUUUCGUUCAAAUCUGUCCCCAUUUAGUAUUUUGAGUCAAGUUAGUUUAGAAUUCGUCCAAAUCACUCUUUAGUAUUUGUUUUGAGUCUUUUUAACUUAGUUUUGCUGUUUUGAGUCAAUUUGGUUAGUUUUGAGUCAUAAGAGUCUAGUUUAGUGUUUUCAAGCCUAGUUAAGUCUUUUUGAGUUAAAUUUGAGUAGAUUAGCAUCCCUUAUAAUCCCCAGCCUAAAACGAUCUCUACUUACAUAAACUACAACCAUAGGGUUUUAAUUUGAGUGUUAGUUAAUUUCACAUCAAACGUGGUGAAAAUGCCUUGGUUUGAUAGUUGGUCUGGAUGGUUGAGAUAGUCUUGGGCUGAUUUGGGCUGCUUGGAAUGUCGCGGGAGCAGGCUGGGCCACGAGAGAAGGCUGCUCAGCGAAAGCAAGCUGGGCUAUGGGAGUGGGCUACUCGGUGUAUGAUGCACGAGGGUGAGAGGCUUGGGCUCGGCUUGGCAAUGUGUUGGGGUCGCGUUGGGCGUGGAGCGACAUGGCUUGGGUUGUGACUUUAGUGCCGUGAGCUGCCUUGGAUGGCACGGCUCGGGCCGUGGUGGUGACACCAUGGACCUCACCGCAGGUGGCUACCGUGGUAGCCACCGCGGUGGUGGUGCCGCUUCACCUAUUGUCACAUUUAGCCUAGUGGAUCGCUGUGGUCCCAUCUCUUGAAUGUUGAAAUUUUCAUUUGUUGAAUUUUCUUAAUUUCUAGCCAUUGUACUUCUCUUUUACGUUUUAUCAAAGAAUUUUUGCAAAUAAAAAAUUCUAAUAAUAAGAACGUACGAUAAAUCUACAAAUGGACAAGAAAAUAGAAAGCCUUGGAUGCGAGAGUCUUCUACGAGUGUGGGACUCAACUCUCAAUGAAAUCACCAAUUUGUGGAUUCAAAUUUCUUCCUCCAUGUUCUUGGACAAAAUUGCACCUGCAAAACAAAUAACACCUUAGGUCAAGGCCAAGAGCCUCAUGUGCCCAUGAUGAAUAGGGGGCUUUGGCCGAAGAACCUCCGAUGCCAAAGUUAGAAUUUUGAGGGAAAAAUAUUUGGAGAAUUUAGAGAACUUAGCAAGAGCAUUGAAAUUGAGUUUUGGAAAGAAUGAUGAAGUUUUUAUAGGGGUGUGGCCCGCCCCUUUGGGAUAGAAACGAUCGGCCACUUGGUUCUUUUUGUGGGUUAGGUUCUUGAUUUUUGUUUAAUUAGGAAUAAUUGAAUAAUAAAUCAAUUAAUUAGCUAAUUAAUAGAAUAAUUUCCUAAUUAAUUAAUAUAAGAAAAGGGGAAUGAUUUGGGAGUUACCUUGUGGAGAGGAUUUGAUGAGGAUGGAUGAAAUAGGUUUUGAAUUAUUACCUAUUUUGACCACUUUUGACUUGGUUGAGGGUUGAUUGCCCACUGCUCGCGUGUAGGAAUCCUGGUAUGCCUCGAGGGUAAUUUUGUCCUUUUAACCCAAAAAUCCACGUGUUGCCUUAUAAUUAUUUUUGGCUCCACAAUAUUGUCUGCAUAAAAAGACUUUGUUAGCCCAAGUUUGUCAGUGCAAAACAAGAGAGAAAAAAAGAUUUAGACCCUAGCUUUUAAUGUGAAAAAAAUGAGGAGUUGUAAAGGAAAAAUGGCCUUUGAUUGGUAGAAUCAUGUUGAAAUUAACGUUGCAGCCAUGAGAUUUUCCAUGGAUUGUGCAUGCUUAAUUCUGCAAUAAUCAAACCCUUACAAUGACACAAUUUUUAACCAACAUUCUAUUCUGGCUAAAACCUUAAGACGUUCUCCUAGAGAAAAACAAGCUCUUUUGACCAAUGGAUAAUGAUUUUAAAGUUUUGGAUCCUCCAACUAAGGUAUGAAUUGAUUUAUACAAGUUUUUUAUUUUUUUAUUUUUUGUUUAAUUUCAAGGGUUUUAAGGUUUAGGUGUGUAUUGCCUAGAAAAAAAGGACAUUGUUAGUCCAAGUCUGUGUGUGCGAAACAAAAGAAAGAAAGAAAAUGAAGAAUUUAUGCCCUAGUUUUAAUUGUGAGGUAGAGGGGGAGUUGUAAAGGAAAAGGAUCUUUGAUUGGUGGAAUUUAUGCUGAAACUAAGGUUUAGCCAUGCGACUUUCCAUGGACUCUGCAGUCUCCAAUCCAUGGUUGCAGUUGUGCGUUUUUGUUUUGUAAUGCUUGCGAAACUGUUUGAUCAGCAACUACCAAAUAAAUUAGAACGACUUUGAUUUUCAUUUUUUAAAUGGUUGUAAAGAUAAAUUUAUAUAUUGAAUUGAGUUUGUGAUGGUAGUUUAGGUAGUAAGUUUGGGUUUAAAGAGAUAUUGAUAAUUGAAUUAAAAAUAACAUGGGUGUAGAGAGUAAGUAAGGUGUAGAGUGCAGUUAUAUGGAUCCAAAUAAAACUUUUCUAAUGUCAUGCGUAAGUCUUCUUUCACAUGGCAAAACGUUACUUGGUUAUGAUGCGAUGUAAAUAAAUCUUUGAGGAAGAUGAAACUUAGACGGAAGUCACGAAAUUUGUUCCCACCAUCUAUACUGGAUCUUAGCCAAGGUAUAAAAUAUCGAUAAUAUCGGAAAUAUCGGUAGUUCAAAAAUACGGAAAUUUCGACGGAAAUAUCGGGAUAUUAUCGAUAUCGAUAAAAAUUGAAUAAAAACCACGGAAAUUGUAAGCAAAACUUGGAAAUUUUUAUUGAAACUUUGCAGGAUGUUUAUUUAGUCAAUUAUCUAUUAGUUUAUCACAAAAAAUUGGAAGGAAAUGCAUUGCAUGAUGUAUUUAACUGAUUUAAGUUGAUUAUAUAGCAAGCUGGCAAACAUUGUGAGUGUAGAAAAUAUGUAGUAAUUAAUAAAAGAAGUUUAAACACACCAUAAUCAUUUAUAUAUAAUGAAUUAGUACAAUAUUUUACACUUUUAUACAUUGCAUGAUAAGAUACAUGAAUGACUUAGUACCACACAGAGUUCCUAUGAGAUUCAAAUUUUUCACUAUCUUCAUCAUCUCUAUGUGUAGAGUAAAUGUAUUGUGAAGAGUAGUCAUCAAAUGAUAAAUCUCCAAAAUAGUUUUGCAUGUAAUUGUUAACAUGCCACCCAUAUGGAUCCGAGAUUGGUUGACGUUGUCCAUAAGCAAAAUCAUUUGAAGAUUGAGUCUCAGAUUCUUUCCAUGAGUCACUCGAUUCCAUUCCAACAAGAAUGAGAUAUGAAGGGCAGGGAAAUGGUUGGUUAUGAGUAUAACCACAGUUACUACUUCCCACUCCAACAGAGUCCGAAGUUAUAGAUAACGAGUCAUCUUCUUGACUUGACAAAAUCCUCUUGUCUCUUUCUCUACGAGUAUAGUCCUUUCCUAUGGCACAAAUUCCUGGUCCUGCCCGCCUACUGCCAUGAUCCUCAUCCUGUGUUGCAUGAGUGAAGUUUGCCUCACCAGUGAAGGGGCUCAUAAAUCCGGGAGGUGGUCAAACAUAGUUUCCAUAUCCACCACUACCUCCAGCUCCACUAUAUCCUUCAUCAUUCCCACCUCUGGUGGUAGGUGAGUUUCCUGAUCUUGUACUAGAGCUAUCAUUAGUAUCAGCAUGAUCUUGUGGUUGUGUACGAUUGGAAGAAGGUGGAAUUCCAGUGUUUCUUGGUCUUGGACGCAAAAGUUCUUCCAAAGAGUCAGCGCUGCUAGAUCCCACCUCCUCCUCUAAUACUCUUUCUACAUUUAUCCCUUCAUUACGUGCUUCUUCAGCAACUCUCGGAGCUGGGUUGCCUUCAUCAUCAUCUAAUUGAAGAGGUCUAAUCCAUUGAUAAAGUUGGUUACCCACUGUAUCAUCAUCUUCAGCAACAAUAUCAAACACAUCUAGUGGGUCACCAGGGUCGACAUGAUCUAUUUCUGCUUCCUUAUCUCGAAUUUGAAGCUUCAUGUUGUAGUAGCAAUAAACUAAUUUUUCCAACCUGCUAUGAGCCAACCUAUUUCUUUGCUUUGUGUGUAUGAGUGCAGAUGUACUCCAAUUUCUUUCACAAGUAGAUGAGGAAGCUGUUUGUGAUAAUACUUUGAUUGCUAACUUUCUCACAGUUGGUGCAUCAAUCUCAUACAUGAUCCACCAUUCAGCUAUAAUGAAAAACAAUGUUGAUAAGCCUAAUAACUCCAACAAAUUCUAUUAUAAACUUAUAGUGAAAUAUGUUUACACUAAUUAGGAGACAUUUUUGUUCAAGUAGCAACUGAUGUUGGUUCUCCAAAAGUUAUUUUUGCAUCUUAAAACCAUGUUAGCUGAAUUCAAUAAAUCGUGUUAGUUUAAUCCAACAAUGUAAUUAUUAUAAUUUAAGUAAUUGUGUACCUCAUUUCCAAAUUGGCCAACUGCUGGUGAUGCAGGGUCCAAUUUAGAGUAUACAUUAUGUACAACACGUAUAAGGGUACCAUCAUCUCCAACACCGAGUCUGUAUUGGUAUCCAGGAUUCAAAUAAUAUGUUGUUCAAAGAAACACAUACUCUAAUAAGAGAAAUAACACUUAUGCAACUAAAGAAAUGAAUUGCAAAUUAUGACAUAAUUUAUACCUGCUGCAUGCAAAUCGUGGUAUAAUGUUUUAUACCAUCGGUCAUCAAUUAUCUUUAUGACCCACCUUGCACCAUGUUUACUUUCCAAGUCAUCCUUCACUACACGCAUCAACUCAUAUAUUGCCCUCAUAGUAGGAUACACUUCUGAGUCAACGAUCCGUAAAACUUUGUAAAGAAGUUCAAACACUUGGCACACAUGUUCUGAUUGAGUCCAAAAAGCAUGAUCAAACAUUAUACUUUCCACCAUAUGACUUGCAUUUGAGUGGCUGAAAUUGUGGUUGGCCCAAUCAUCACUAGUGAAUAGUUGCUUCAACCUUACUUUCUUCUUAAGUAGGCUGUCUAAUGCAAUAUAGUUGGUGGCGAAUCAAGUGGUAGCUGGACGAAUAAUUUCUCCUUUGCAAAAUUCACGCAUUUUUGCCAACAACCAACCGUGAUUAUUUAUAUAAUUUGUGAUCGUUCUAGCUCUUUUUACGACGGUAGCAAUAUUCUCUCUCUUCCCCAUUGCCUCAAAUAUGAGAUCAAUACAAUGUGCUGCACAUGAUGUCCAAAACACAUUAUGAUGCUUCAUUAACUUUUUUCCAGCUUUGACAAAUGCAAAACCGUUGUCGGCCACAACCUGGACAACAUUAUGCUCUCCCACCUCCAUGAUUACAUCCCUCAAUAAUUUGUAAAUAUACUUGUAGUUUUUUAUAUGGUCUGAAGCAUCAAUGGACUUAAAAAAAAAUUGUCUUUCCCUUGGAGUAUACCAUUUUAUGAUAGACAAUUUGGUCGGGCCAGUCCAUCUGUCACACAUGAUUGUGCAACCAUUAGUUUUCCACUUUGACCUCAACUUGUUAACAUACUUGCCAAUGUCUUUAUACUCCAUUUUCAAAUAUUUGUUUCUUACCUCAUAGGGAGUGGGAGGUUGUACUCCAACAUCGGCCUGUUAACAUCCCAAUACCAUAUUUUUGAAAUGAUGUGAAGAUGUCUUCUUAGCAGGGACAUUUUCAUAGAUAAAGAACUUGCUAAUUAGAUGCCCCAUUCCCUCCUUCACAUUACCUCCAGUGAAAUAACUCCAAACACUCUUUUGACGUGCUUUGGAUGACUUAUAUAACCUUGGGGCUUUUGGUGGUGUUGGUUGUGAUUCUCUAACACUUGCUCCCCGUCUCAUUUGUGCACCACCACUUGUCCAGGAACCUUAUGCUCUAUUAGGAAUUUUAUGAAGGUGUUCUCUUUCCCAUGCUGACUGUUUGGAGGCACGUAAUGCUUGUUUGAAAUUGCGUUGUUCUUCAGGUCCCAUGUCAUCAUCACAUUUGUCCUCAUCGUCAUCAUCAUCACUGUCAACCGCUUGGCCAAUGACUUCUCCUCGUAGCCCAGCUCGAAUAUUUUCCAUUCCAUGUGUUUUCUUUUCCUUCUGGUGUUUUUUAUUUUUUUAAUAAUGUGAUGAUAAAUGCCUUCACUUCUGGGGGGACAUUAUCGCAUGGUUGGACAUUAUUUCCUGGAUCUAAUCCACUAAGAUCAUACUUAAGUCGUGUCACUCCACCACUCUUCAUUACCCGACCACAAUAUUUGCAAAUUGUGCCAUGUUUGUUUCCAUCUAUUGGGUCUCCAUGUUCCCAAGCUGGAUCACGUUUAGUAACUCCACUAUACAUCUUAAACGUACAUAUAUUUAUUUUUCAUGGAAAUUAGGCAAUUAUUUUUUGGCCAAAAAAUAUAGUAGUGACGGUUAUAUAAGAGAACCUAAAUAAUAAAGUUAUUCUACAGAGGAAUUAAAUAGGAAGUAAAGAAAAUGAUUGUAAGAAUUUAAGUAAUUAUAAAAAUAAUAUGGAAUAAUAAAACCUAAUAUUAAUGAAUAAUAAUCCAAUUUGAUAAUAAAAUAAUAUAACAUUAAACACAUUAAAAUUAUCCUAGGGACUAAUUAUACAACAUUACUUAAUUACUUCAAAAAAUUAACAUGGAAGUAUUAUUUGGUUCUUAGAUCACAUGCACGGGUCCACACAAUUUUUUUUUGUUGUAUAAAUUAAAAUAAUAUAAAUAUAAGUUUGUAAACUUACCUUAAAUAUGGAACCCUUUGUGUAAAGGCCAAAUAGAAUUUGCGUGGACCAACAAUAAAAUAAUAAUUACACAAAUGUAACAAAUCUGGAACUUUCGAUGUCGUACGUAGCAGCAGAACCUCGACGAUCCUUUGCAGCUUGCCGUCUGUGAAUAAAUGACAGAGAAAGAAGGUAUUUAACAUUUAAUUUGAAGUGGCACGAGCUGCAGAUCCAUUUAUUCAGUUUGAAGGUCUGAAAGGGCUCUGGAAAGGUUCUGAAAGGGCUAAGGGAAGAAGAAGAAACGAAAAGGUGUAAUAGAGGUUUUUCAAUUUUCGAAGGGUCAAAGUCGUCAAAAGUUUGAGAUUUAUACAUACAUACAUAUAUAUAUAUAUAUAUAUAUAUAUAUAUAUAUAUAUAUAUAUACCGUUUAGAUUUAUAUAUAGAGUUUAGGGGAUUAAAGAUAUUUCAAAGGCAUCACGUGGGGACAAAAUCAAAAGCAACAAUUCUUUUGGUUCAACUCUUACAUGCACAAGGGCUUCACGUGGAUAAGAAAUAAAGAUAGCAGAUUUUUUGGUUCAUUUUGAUGUGAAAAAAGGGCUUCACGUGGAUAAGAAGAUAAAGAUAGCAGAUUUUUUGGUUCUUUUGAGCAAAGUCAAGUCGACAUAAUGUUUGAAGAUAAAGAUAGCAGAUUUUUUGCUUUUAAAAUUGUUUUUUAGUCUUAAUAGGUGUGCCACGAGGCCCACCUUUGUUUGUUGUUCCUCGGGUGGUCUAAGCCUAACUCGUCUCUCUCUCUCUCUCUCUCUUCUCUUUCCCUCCUUCACACUCUCUUCCUUUUCCUCUUCUUCCCUGAGCCUCUGUGUUCUCUCAUCUUCCCGUCGAACACACACACACACCCAGUCACCGCACACCCUUCGUAGUACUCCGUCAACGGCAUAUCAUCACCAUCUAAACCUCGUCUUUCUCUCCUUUUCUCUCAGUGUAGCUAUGACAGUGGAACCCAAGAACUCUCCGGCGAGUUCUGUUGAUCCUUCUCUGGUUAGGUAAGCCUCGGUUAUCUCAAUUCAUCUUGGAUGUUGUGUGGUUGAGAUAUACUAAGUUUUAUCGUUUUUUUAACAAGGUUUUAGAACAAGAUCAACCCGGUGGAAGGCACACCCAGCUCCGGCAAGGCCGUGAGUGUCGAGGAACUUUCCGAACACCACCGUUUCACGGCAAACAGAAGUUAUAAAAACAUUCCUCUCGUCUUGUGUUUCAUUUUGAUACCUAGAUCAGAGUCUAGGGUGCUCUUCUCCAAUUCGUACCAGGCCUAAAAUAUUGCGAUAUUAUUGAUAUUAUCGCGAUAUUAUCGAUAAUAUCAAUAAUAUCGCGAUAUUUUUACAAUAAUUCAGUGGAUAAGUGUGAAAAUAUCGCUCUCCCACAAAAAUGAUAUUAUAACCGAAAUACGCUGAUAAUAUCGACAUUUCAGACCAUGACCUUAGCCAAAAGGCUAAGUUUCGGUGCAUCGCACCGCACCUAAUCAGCGCCCAUAUGGGCCUUUGUUUUGGGUCCUUUUUUUUUCCAGCUCGUUUGUUGCUGCUGGGCUUGCAGCCCCUUGGCCUGAUCAGCCUGUACUCUUUUUUCCAGCCCAGAUUUUAGGCCUGGGCCGCACGACCGUAAUUACUUAGCCCACCCGUGGGCUUUGGUCCACUGUUUUGGGCCCCAAGUUUUAAUUACCUAUUUUUUUUCGGCACUUUUGAGUUUUAUAAUUUUUCACCCACACUUUAAUUUUGGCCCAAAAUCUAAAUAAUUAAUUCAGUUAUAAUUCUAGACCCAAAGAUCUAUUUGCAUAUUUCUUGUUGCAUAUUAUAUAUAUAUAUAUAUAUAUAUAUAUAUAUAAUAUAUUUGUGUUUAUCUGCAGGAACAUAUGAACUUGAAGUUCAUAAUUUUUUCGAAACCUGAAAUUUCUAGAAAACAUGCCUUAUUUGAAAACCUGAAGUUUUCCUUAAAACAUCACCCAUGAAAACCCGAAAUUUUUUUCAUGUAACUUUAAACCAUUGUCUAUUGAUUUUCUCCAUUACACUAACAACAUUCUUGUCCAUUUAUUUUGUGAUAAAGACAUGUCAAAUUUGAACAAACUCAACUUCACCGCUUUAGAGGUCUUUGGAAAAAAACUACCUCAAGUGGGUCCAAAUGUGAAGCUCCACCUCAUCGCAAAGAAUUUGCGCCCAGUCAUUGAAGAUGAGACAGACAACCCGGUUGGCAAAACUGAGAAAGCCACUGCCAUAAUCUUUAUCCGAAGACACAUUCAUGAUGCACUGCAAACCGAGUAGCUUGCUAAGGAAGAUCCACGAGCAUUUUGGGUUGCUUUGGCUGAUCGCUUUGAUCACCAAAAUGACAUCUUCUUAGCUAAAGCAAGACAUGAUUGGUAGCAUCUACACUUCUAAGACUUUAAGUCUACAAAUGAAUAUAAUUCUGAAGUUUGUCGAAUCCGAUCACUUCUCAAGUUUUGUAACGAGAACUGGACUGAAGAGGAUCUCCUGGAGAAGAUAUAUUCGACCUUCUCUGCUGCCAAUAUUGUCCUGCAGCAACAAUAUAGGGCUCAGAAGUUCACUAAGUUUUAGGAUUUGAUCUCUGUUUUACUUCUCGCUAAAAAGCAGAAUAAGUUGUUGAUGAAGAAUCAUCAAGCUCGACCUACUAGGGCAACUGCUAUGCUUGAAACACAUUAUAGCACAAACAAUUUCCCAAAACGCCAACAUAGGGGUGGUAAAGGCGGUCAGAAGCCACCCCAUCAAGGUCAACAGAGCCAAAGCCUAUCUAAGGGAGGAAACCGAGCCCAUAAGCAUUCUAACCUCGCUCCCAAGGCCCUGAACUUCAUGAAUAAGGGCAAAGCACUGACACCAUGGAUGCGAACAUGUGCUAUCGUUGUGGUUCAAAUGACCAUUGGCCGUCGUGCUCCCUCGACAGUUUGUAGCUGAAUAUCAUUCUUGUCGUAAGAAGUUUGAAUCGAACUUUAUGCAAGUGGAUGAACUAGAGAGUACCAAAAUGGAGGUUUCUGAUUUUCAAGAGGCUAUUACCUCUAUGGAAGAUUAGAAUCUUAUACAUAAAUUAUUUUUAGUUGAGUUUAGAACCUUGGGGGGCCGAAUUUCACCUAGUGGCCAAACCCUCCUUGUUUUUUGUUCAAGUUUGAAUAAUUUUCCUUUAUGUUUGGAUUAUUUGUUGGUGAUUUUUUUUUUUUUGGAUAUUAAGUCUUUUUAAUUACCAUCCUUGAAUACUUAAAUUAUUUUGAAUGGAUAUUUAUCUUUUAGAACUUUUAUGCAUGUGACAUAUUGAAAUUAAUUUUUAUUCCUAGGUAUGACUAAUGAGAAAGUUAGUUGUUUGGCAGAUAGUGCAACCAUACACACUGUUUUGCUUAUCGUACCUAAGAAUGCACUUCUGACAACCUUCUUAGGCUCAUCCAACCUAAUCGAAGGAUACGGUAAGAAACGAAUAAUGUUGUCUAGAUGAGGCACUUUAUUUUUCACGUUCCGAAAGAACGUUGUUGAGUUUCAAGGACAUUCGAGACAAUAAUUACCACACUUAAACCUAUGUAGAAAAUGGAGUUGAAUUUAUAUGCAUCACUUCCUACGAAUAUGACCAGAAGCGUAUUCUAGAGAAGAUGCAGCGUAUCUCAAGUGGUCUGUAUACUACAACCAUACGUUCUAUAGAAAGCCACUAUGUGGUCGGUCCUACCUCUGAGACUGCACACCAAAUUACACUUUGGCAUGAUCGUUUAGGACACCAUGGACGAACAGCGAUGCGUUGUAUCUUCAAAUAUUCACACGGACAUCCACUAUCCCGAAGUUUAGGUUGAUUCAAGGAAUCGCAUGUCAAACCUGCUCAAUGGGAAAACUUAUCAUUAAGCAUUCUUAUAACAAGAUUCGUUCGAAUCCUCCUACUUUUCUACAAAUGAUUCAGGGGGACAUUUGUGGAGCGAUUCAUCCUCUCUGCUGACCAUUUAGAUAUUUUAUGGUAUUGGUUGACGCCCCCACACAUUGGUCACAUGUGUGCUUGUUGUCCAAAAAAAUGUUGCAUUCUCUAAACUGUUGGCUCAAGUUAUCAAGCUCAGGGCUCACCACCCUGAUUAUCCGAUUAAAUCUAUUCGAUUGGAUAAUGUUGGAGAAUUCACAUCUAAAACUUUUGAUGGCUAUUGCAUAUCAGUUGGGGUUGAAGUUGAACAUCCAGUACCCUAUGUUCACACUCACAACGGCUUGGUAGAGGCGUUCAUUAAGUGCUUACAAAUGAUUGCUAGAUCGUUCGUCAUAUGUACCAAGUCCUGAUCGCUACUUGAGGCCAUGUAAUAUUUCACGCAACCAUGUUGGUCUGCCUGAGGCCUAUUGUGACCCAACCAUAUAGCGCACUUCAGUUGGUUACCGGAUACGAACCCAACAUAUCACAUAUACGAGAUUUUGGUUUUUAGGUUGUGAGAUCUAUGUGCUGAUCUCGCAGCCAUUAUGAACAAAAAUGGGGCCUCCGCGAAGGAUGGAUAUCUAUGUCGGAUAUGGUUAUCCUUCAAUUAUUUGUUACUUAAAACCUUGUACAAGCGAUAUUUUUACUGCUCAUUUCAUGGAUUGUCACUUCUAUGAGACAAUCUUCUCGUUGUUAAAGGGAGAUAAAAACGUCACCGUUCCUGAAGAAUAACACGAAUUAUCUUAGAUGACUCCCACUUUGUCUCAUUUAGCCCCAUACCGCUCAGUCUGAAACUGAAGUGCAACGUAUAUUAGGUCUUCAUAGAGUAGCUCAGAGCAUGCCAGAUGCUUUAACAAAUUUGGCAUGAGUGACAAGAUCACAUAUUCCCGAUGUAAAUGUGCUUGCAAAAAUGAAUGUACCAAAUGUACGAUGGACUUCCCUCCUGGAGGCCUCGGACGCCACUUUGACCGAUCCAUGUACAUUAGCGGUUAGCCAAUUCGCUACCCCUACACAAAAGCGUGGAAGACCUCUUGGUUCAAAAGAUUCACAACCACAGAAGAGGAAACCCACAACAUAGGCUGUUGAGCUUACUGUGAACUGUUACUUACUCAUUCUAUCCAACUCAUGAGGAAAUUCUAGAUUACGGAAGUAUCCUUGAAGAGAAGAAUCCAUCUCCUGAGAAUCGAGAGAUUUCGGUCUAUUGUGCUAGCUUGGAUGAUGUUUGAUGUAGAAAUGAGAUGAUUAUCGAUGAUGCAUUAACAUUUGCAGUAGCUAUUAAGAUCAUGUUGAACGAUGACAUUGAACCCCAUUCUGUUGAUUAAUGUUGACGUAGAACUGAUUAGUCAAAUUGGAAACAAGCAAUCUAAGUCGAACUCAAUUCGCUUGCGAAACGUAAGAUGUUUGGACCUGUAACUCUUACUCCUCCACAUGUGAAGCCCGUUAGCUACAAGUGGGUUUUCGUUAGAAAGUGUAAUGAAAAGAACAAAAUUGUGCAUUACAAAGCUCGUCUUGUUGCGCAAGGCUUCUCACAAUGCCCCGAGAUUGACUAUGGGAAACUUAUUUACCGGUUAUGGAUGUUAUUACUUUUCGAUACCUUAUCAGUUCUGUAGUUUCUGAAAAAAUUGAGUAUGCAGCUGAUGGACGUAGUAAUUGCGCAUCUCUAUGGAGAUCUUAAGGAAAUUUAUAUGAAAGUUCCCGAAGGACUUACAUUGAUUAGAUUAAAUAUUUUCAAAACCCAGAACGCGCUCUCAAUUUGACUGAGGCGUUCACUAUAUAGUUUGAAACAAUCCGGAAGAAUGUGGUAUAACCGUCUAAGUGAGUAUUUGACUAGUCAGGGAUAUAUGAGCAACGAACUCUGCCCUUGCGUGUUUAUUAAGAAGCCACAUUCUGGUUUUACAAUUGUUGCAGUUUAUGUUGACGACAAGAACCUUAUAGGAACUCUUGAAGAGCUCAAGAGAACUGCCGCGCACCUGAAGUCAGAAUUUGAGAUGAAGACUAGGAAAUACUCGAUAUUAUCUCAAUCUCGAGAUAGAGCAUUGUUCGAAUGGAAUCUUAGUACAUCAAUCGAACUACACCCAGAAGAUGUUGCGUCGCUUUAACGAGGAUAAAGUGAAGCCUUCGAGUACUCCUAUGGUUAUAUGACCGCUAGGUGAAAAAUGAGAUCCCUUUCGUCCGAAAGAGGAUGAUGAAGAGAUUUUGAAACUCGAAGUUCCUAAUCUAAGUUCCUAAUCUAAGUAUGAUAGGCAUUUUAUUGUACUUAGCUCAAAGCACUAGACCCGACCUUUCAUUUGUUGUUAAUAUUUUAGCAAGAUACAGUAAUGCAUCGACACACAGACACUGGAUUGGUGUUAAAGACAUCUUCCGCUACCUUAAGGGUACUACGGAUAUGGGCCUAUUCUAUCCCUACGGAUCCUCAAGUGAUGCCGCACCCUUAUCUCGAGUUGAUUAUCUCAUUGUUAGUUAUGCCGACGUAGGUUACUUAUCUGACCCGUAGAAAGCGCGUUUUCAAACGAGUUAUGUCUUUACCGUAGGAAGCACUGCAAUAUCUUGAAGGUCAACUAAAGAGACCUUAGUUGCCACUUCGUCUAACCAUGCUGAUAUACUCGCCUUACAAAAAGCUACUCAGGAAUGCUUUUGGUUGAGAGCAAUUGUGGGCUAUAUUCGAAGCUCUUGCAAUCUUUACAUAGUCGUUGACGUCUCAACAAUGAUCUAUGAAUAUAACGCAACAUGCAUGGAACAACUCAAGAAGGGUUAUACCAAAUAAGACAACACCAAGCACAUUGCGCUGAAAUUCUUCUUUUCACAUCAACAACAAGAACAUCAGAAGAUUGAAGUCAAGCAAAUCCAUUCACAAAACAAUCUGGUCGACCUUUUCACCAAAUCACUACCAAAGGCGACGUUUCAGAAGCUUGUUCAAGGAAUAAGUAUGCGUAAACUUUCUGAGUUGUAACAUUGUUAGUUCUCUUUGGAAUUAUGUCGAACUCAGGGGGAGUAUCUUGAAGUAUACUUGCUUGAUCUUAAUGUACUCUUUUUCCUUACGAUUAGGAGCAUUUUUCCCUUUGGGUUUUUGCUACCUAACGAGGUUUUGACAAGGCACCUACCUUGGGUUGAGCAUAUCCCUAAUGAUGUCAUGUAGACAUUUCAUUUGACUUUGCAUUUUGUCACAUACUUUUCCUUAGACUAUGAGUUUUGUUCCUACUUGGGUUUUACCAUAGUCAUUGGGUUUUUUGUGAGACUUAGUUCCAUGUGCAAGUUCCUACUUUGUUUAAGACUAGUGUUGUUCCCAUAAUCCAUGCCGAAGAGUCGACUUCCUCAACUCUGCAUGAUGCCGAAUCUACUUGAGUAUUUACACACUCAAGGGAGAGUAUUAUAAACAUUGAAUUUAAAUGUGAUUGCGUAAAUCCUAUAUUAGAUUUGAUACUAGCUAUUAUUUCUUAUUAGGACUUGUAUUCCUUGGAGGAGAAAGAUUAUUCCCUCCCUUAUUAUUAUAAAUAAAGGCAUUGUGUAGGGAGAAUAAAACAUCCUCUAUACAACCCUACAAACACAUAUCUCUCCCUACUCUCUCUCUUUGGCGUGCCCCCUCUCUCCCUUGUUAGAUGAAAAUAAGCCACAACAUCAACCCCAUUUUUCAAUCAAGGAUAAUAAUUCUAUUGUCCCUCACGCAGCAAAUAAAGCUUUUUUGGUCCAAGAUCGGACAAUGACACAGUAAUCAAGCGGGGCAUGAACAUUUAAUAAUGGGGUAUGGUAUCCACACACUCUUAUCAAUUUUCGACCAUUGAAUCAAAUAAAUUGAAAAAUAUCAAAUGACAGAAAUUAUUACGAGGUGCGAAUUUGAACCUUUAUGUGUUGGUAGGCUUUCAAGUCAACAAACUAAAAAAAGAUUUGUGAAUAGCACAACCCCUUAAAAAUUCUUCUAGACGAAGUUUCUUAUUAGAUUACAUUUCAAGUAUAACGAAAUGAACCCAUUGCAACUCGAUCAAUCUAAUACUAAUGUUGGUAUGAUAUGAUGCAUUCGAUUUCGGCAUUUUGUACAUUUGAGUUUCACCGUGAAAAUGGUCUAUAUUUUUCUGUCUUGAUCAUCUAUCCGAAUUAAACCACAUGCUCCACUGCUUGUGCAGACUGCAUCAAUUCAUUUGAACUUUUUUCUUGCAAACAUACUUCCAAGGCAGGAACUUAACAGGUCACUAAACUUAAACUCGAAGUUUUUCUUUGAUUAAAAAGAAACCCAAUGCUAUUGGAAUUUCGAAGUGCAGAUUUCAGUUGGUGGAGUAAAAGUAGGUGGGAACACGCGGAAGAUAUUGAUUAGGUAAAGGUUUAGUCCAAAAAAAAAAAAUUAUGUAAAAAUUUAAAAUCUCCAAAGUGGCGAAUCCCAUAAAACGUGUUGCAUUUUCAAUUUUAAUAUUUUAGAAUCAAAGCAAAACCCGUUGAAACAUUCCAAGUGAAAAAAGUUGAUGGAGACCUAAGCAUACACGAAAAAAUUAUUAGUGUAUAGAAUACAGUUGAAGAUGGGUGGAAAACACUGGAAGGUAACGGAGCCCAUAAAACGCGUAGUCUGGAAUACAUUUUUCGUCUAUUGAAAAAUUGCAACAUCUUUGCCAUGAUUUUGUCUGGAAAAAAACAUUUUUCUUUUGUUGAGAUACAAAAUUAAUUUAAACUUUUUAAUGUUAAGCAUGUCCCUAAGAAAAUGACAAAAGAAAAAACACUCUAAACUGGUCUUUGUUUUUUGGGUCAACACACUCGGAACUAGUCUUAGUAGCAAAAUCGAAGUAAAAACUCAUCCCCGAAAUCCACUCUUUCUUCAUCUUUCAGUUUCCUAUCCAACCAAGACACAGUUGUGAGCAUGGCUGAGUUGGUGGGCGGAGCUUUUCUCUCUUCUUUUCUCUCUGUUUUGUUCGACCGGAUGGCUUCCCGUCCCGUCGUCGACUUCAUAUCUGGAAAGAAAAACAACAACGAGCUGCUCAUGAGGGAGUUGAAGAUCAAGCUGCUCACUGCUAACAAGCUGGUCGAUGAUGCCGAGGAGAAGCAGAUGACAAGCCCGACCGUGAGGAAGUGGCUCGACGAUCUCAAAGAUGCUAUCUACUGCGUAGGAGAGUUGCUGGACGAGAUCAACACUGAAGCUCUUC
rnacentral:lncRNA from 1 species